rnacentral:lncRNA from 1 species
UUUUUUUUUGCUGUUAUAGAUUUAUGCCUGUGGUAAUAUCAAAUACUCCCUCCGGCCGGAAUUACUUGUCGAAAUAUUACAUGUAUCUAGACACUUUUUACACAUAGGUACAUCCGUAUUUGGACAAAUUUGAGACAAGUAAUACCGGUCGGAGGAAAUAAUUGUUUAUCUACUCCCUCCGUUUCGGUAUAACGGACGGAUCUCUGAAUUUCCAUCCCCCCCCCCCCCCCCCCCCGCGAGUACUUGCAUACCUUGCUAACCUUUUACUUCCGCCUUAGCUUAAAAAAUGUAGACCAUACCCCCAUUUCUGUUCCUUUACUGUAAACCACCACCAACAGAAGUCCUCAAUGCCGUUGUUGGCAGGUUUCGUGACCUCAAUUUUUUUGAGGGAAAUACGGUAGGUUAAAAACUACUGCAAAUAUAUUAAGAAAAGUUCAAGUACAUGGAAAAGGAUGAAAAAGAGAGCUAAUUAAAUGAAUCAAUCCAUGCCUUAAUAGCUAAAUAGCUCAUCUUUCUCUUUGCUCUGUGAAAGUCCGCUUGAGCUCGUCCUUGAAAAUUUUCCUUCAUCUGUAGAGGCUUGGCCGCACAUAAUUGGAAAUAUAGUCAUUCCCGACAUUCCAAAUGCUCCAUGCAAUGAGGGUGGAUAUCUCCAUGUGAAAUGGAACCUUUCAGCAUAUGCUUGAUGGCAGUAAAGUUCUGAUGAACAUUUAGCUAACUAGAAAAAUUGGGACAGAUAUAUUUCCAACAGAUCAGCGCAAAUCGAAUUCAAAGAAGAUAUGAUACCUAAUCUCUAGGUGAAGACCAUUGCAAAGCACACAUAUGAAUGAGGGAAUGGUGAAAUUCUUCUUCUGAAGCAUUGCUCUUGUGUUCAAGCUGACAAUUAGCAUUAGCCAUUUGUGCUUAAGCUGACAACAAGAUUUCGAAAGCCAAUUGAAUUUAGAUGGGAUAUCAAUGUGCUGAAUAAGUGAUCCGUAUACCAAUAAGGUACUGAAUCCCUGCUUAGUGCCAUGGCAAGAUGAGAUGUCCAUUUCAGGAUCAAGUUCCCAACGCAUCUCUUCCGCCAUUGUCAGUCCCAACUCACUGCCGCUAUCAUGCACAACAUCAAAUUGGGUGCUAUAUUUCUAGCAUGGGGAAUAAACUAGGGAAUUUAGGGAUUCUGGUACCAAAAGGGGUUGAAGACAGGAUUUGGAAUUUGCGAAGCUUCGCAAAUUGAAAACAUUUCGGAGAGAUUUCUACAAAUUUAAACGGUUGUCCAUCUCCCUCACAUGUGUGCAGCGUGUCUCCCGUACUAAUCAUCUUGCCUACGUGGCAAAAAGCACGGUCCAGAUCAAUAUUUGGACAGAAGUGAAUCCGUAAGCCAAGUUUAAUGUACUAAUUUAACAAAAUGCAAGACGGGGGUUGAAGUAAACAUAUGUGGCAAGUUUAAGGGCGAGCUGUGCAUUUUAAUCAUAUGUUUCCAAAAUUAGAUCUUUCAGUCAAAAUUAAAUUGCUAAAACCUUUUAUUUCCUGCCAAAAGUCUUUAACGAUUUUGCGUUUUGUUUUUUGUCUUUUUUUUCGAAAAUGGAAGCUUAAAUUGAUCUCAACGUUAUAUCGAGCGAUACAAUCAAAGAGAAUCACACCUCCGGCCUCUGCAUCGAGACGCACACAGCCAAAGUAGCACACCACAAACUUAUUACAUCAAAAGAAAUAUAACGACUCCAAGCAGACUCAAUGCGGCCACUAGACCGCCACCCAUGAUGGCUGAAAAUGUCCCUGGCCACUUGCUCCAGCUUGCUGCACGCCAUCAAAGCCAGUUGGCGAUCCGCUGGCUUGAGUAGCGUAGACCAAGUACGGAGCCAAAGUGUGCAUGAAUAUAACACCUGCAUAGGAGAAGUUAAUUUCUUGCAAUUAAAAACAUGAUCAUUUCUGCGUAGCCAAAUUGCCCAGCAUAAAGCUGCAGCCCCAACCAAAAUAAGUGCUCUCAAUCUAUUACUAACCCCACGUAACCAAGACCCAAACAUAUGAGGAACAUCACGAGGGGGAUAAAGAUUAGAAGGUAUUUGGACUAUUGACCAUGCAGAUCGAGAGACGUGACACCAAAAAAAGAGGUGUACAAUAGUCUCAUCCUCAUGACAGAAACUGCAUUUUGAACUACCCUUCCAAUUCCGCUUUAGCAGGUUGUUUUUAGUUAGAGUGACCCCGCGCCGCAAGAACCAAAGGAAUAUUUUUAUUUUGAGAGGAACCUUUAACUUCCAAAUCCCAUCGUUAGAAUUCGGUAUAUCAGAGUUAACUAAAGCAUGAUACAUUGACUUGACCGAAAACAAACCACUAGGGUGAAGGUUCCAACGGAACUCAUCCCGACCUGGGGACAAAUUAACAUGGACAAGGCGAUUCAGGAGCUUCGUCCAGGCCACCAGUUUAGGUCCAACAAAGCUACGUCUGAAGGACACAUUCGGUGGGAAGGAGCGAGAACCUGUGCCGAAGUAUCAUUAGUGAGCCACCUAGGGCUCAUGACAUCAGCUCAGAACUAGUUGGCUUAGCCUAAAAAAAGUUGGCUUAGCCUAAGCCAUUUCAUUUUAUAUAGGGCAUGGAAACCGCAUAGACGUGAGCAAAUCUUAGUCAUGGGCUAUCGAUGGAGGCAACUGAAGUUUGGCAGUGACAACCCAAGGAUGUAGUUUUAUCAAAUGAAAACUGAAAGAGUGUAGUUUAAUUCAACAAAUUCUAUUAUUUCUUAGUCAUGUUGAGAACCAUCUGAUCAGGUGUUUGAAAUUCGUGUCAGCAUAAACGGGUGAGAAGAUCACCAAUGUUGACCGACGAAAGCUGUUUCUAAGUCAGCUGAAAAAUAGUCACCCAUGAAUUUAUCAAAGCACGACACAAGUAGUUUGUGAAAAUUACCUUGUUACAGAGUUAAAAAAAUGUAACUUUGACCACCGUUAAGUUUUUUUUGUUCUUGCCUGUGGAAGCCUGCACUAACUAAAUGUUGUAAACUAUGCUAAGAAAGCCUAAAUGUCGGAGAUUAAUUAACUGUUUUGUUCUAGACUUUAUCUUAAUUCUCACGAUCCAUGAAUUCACAUUAUCUUUGCGUGACACCUUACGUCUUCGCUUCACUGAUUGGGCAACACAAGAACGUCACGUCAAACCAAUGGAACGGUUCCCUUUGUACGACCUGGGUCCAGAAUCUCGACACGUUCAAUCUCCUAUGUUUUACCCUAUAGGAACGCGACAUGCAUGUUCGGCGAAAAGAAAACUGUGGGCUGACACAAACAACGUAUGAUGGGCACCACCACCAGUUUGCCAUUCCAGAAGGGCACUAGCAAGUGUCGAAGAACUAAAGAAAAAGACCUCGGUCUGGAUAGAAAACAUGUAAUAUGCCGUUGAGCCUGUUGUAGUCCCUGAGGAAAGAAAAUGACAGGAGUCUGACGAUACUUUUUAAGGUUUUGCUGUAGUUGUCUGUUCAACACCGAGUCUUUACUUAAUAGUGACUGCCUCUCACUCUCCCUCUUAUUUUAUUUUACAGGAGUGACCUCUCUCUCUCUCUCUAAAGUGCAGCUAUGGUAAUUGCACUUAUCCUUUUUGAGCGAAAAAUAGUUUUCAAUUAUGAGGGCUUUACUCUCGACCUCUGUACUAACAUAGACCUGUUUGUAUUCGGAGGAAGGGAGUGAGAAGGGAAAUGAAGGAUCUGAUUCGAUUAUAUCGUCCGGGAUACCCUAUAUACUGGAGUAAAAGGCUGGCCAAUUCCAGAAUUCAGUGCGUCAAUCAAUUUAGGCAACUUUGGCUCCACAUCUAGAGGCAGCCCCAGGUCCCUCCUAGAUCAGCAUGUCUGCUUUCGGAUCAGGAAUUCGUGUGUUCCCGCAGCAUCAGAAUGGAGCAAGAAACUGUACCGCUGCAACAGCUAGUACGCUAGCAAUUGCACUUGCCGCCCUGACCUGAUCGUCCAAACAAAAUGCCCCGGUUGCGAUCAGCCGGACCACCGUCCACCGUGCGAAUGAUCCCCUGGUUUCGUUUAUCACAGGUGCUCUUGUGCCGUGCUUCUGCUCCAAACACUCUUCGGAACAAAAGAAGUUCACAUCAACAUGGCACACACACACCUGAGUGACCUGAUGGCAAUUUUUUAUUUGAAAAGAUGAAUUUUCAAUUGAAUCAGUGAUCAAUUUUGACACGGACAUUUAAUAGGAGACGACAAGUGAUUGUCAGUAUCAAGUAAAAGACGGCUUCUCGCAUUGCACUUCGGAGUAGUACAUGUAGAGAAAACACUACUACGACGAUUCUCAAAAGCACAGGGGCUCGCAACAGAGUUGGCCGACAGCAACGGCGAAAACUAAGAAAAACCUUUUCCAUGCUGCCCUGGCUGUCUCGAUCUCAGCCUUUCCUUUUCCGAAGCCAUCCUGCAAUCGGCGAUUUGGCACCACAAGCUAUCGGUAAUAAAGGCAACUACUUACCCCUGUGACCUCGUUGCAUUUGACAGGAACAGGUCUCACCAAUGUUAUGGCUCCAACUUGCAAGGAUAAAUUCUCUCUAUAGUAACAGCUUUUAAUUUAGACAGGAGAGUAGGGGUAUUGGAAGGGUAGAUCUAUAUACAAGUCUGCAGCUUACACAGUUGUAGCUUCUACUACCAACAUCAGCAGCUGAAAGAAUGAUGAACCAAAGCAGAAAAAUCCCCUAAGGUUACAAAAAGAAAACCUCACAGGAUUGUACGGCCGUUGGUAUUCCUCUUGGCCUCCUCCCAUGGAGCCUGCACAGACCCCAUGUCCAGCUCUCCUCCAACCAUCAAUGCCGGGAGGCCACCAUUGGCCGUGGAGCCGCCCAUGGUCCCUCCGAUACCAAGCCCAAGAAAGUCCAGAGUAGCAGGCUUGGGACCGAACAGUGGUGAUUGCCCCAUCAUCAAAUCUGGCAACCCUGGAUUUGCACCGUUGUACGCGAGGCCAAGGCCAAGACUGCCAGACAGCAUUGGCCUGGGCUCCAUAUCCAUUAGCUGAUUACUCCGGUGGUGCCACUGCUGUGCACUGUUAUCAACGAACAUGCCUUGUGAUUGCUUGCAUGGUGGCGAGUUAUCGAUGUACCUUCCAUGUGGCACCUUGGAUGGUGGCGAGCUAUCGACAUACCCUCCUUGCGGCACCUUGGAUGGUGGCGAGCUAUCGACAUACCCUCCUUGCGGCAGGUUGGGUAGUGGCGAGCUAUCGAUGUACCUUCCUUGAGGCAGCUUGGCUAGUGUGGGGUUACUGAUGAACUGUCCUGGCAUUAACUUGGAUGACGGUGAAUAUUCAACAAAUCUUCCUUGAGACAGAUUUGAUGGUGGCGAGUUACCGAAGAACCUUCCUUGAGGUAGAUCAGAUGGUGGUGAGUUACCCAAGAACCUUCCUUGAGGUAGAUUAGAUGGUGAUGAGUUACCCAAGAACCUUCCUUGCGGCAGAUUAGAUGGUGGCGAAUUAUGGCAGAACCUUCCUUGAGGUGGAUUGGAUGGUAUCGAGUUAUCGAAGAACCUUCCUUGAGGUCUUCCUUGAUGUUGUUGGGAUGGUGGCGAGUUAUCCAUGAAACUCCCUUGAGAUAGCUUGGAAUGUGUCGAGUUUUCGGUGAACCUCCCUUGAGGUAGCUGGCAUUGUGUUGGGCCAUCUAUAGACCUUUGAGGUGGCCUGGAUGGGGUUGAUGUGGAGGAACUUGCAAGCCCAAAUUCCUUCAAGAAAGACGAGCUUGACUGAGAAGCUCCAACCUCAGCAGCCUUCUGCAAGAGUGCAGUUGCGGACAUGUGCGGUGCUGGAGGUGGAGCAAAGGAGCCAGGGUUGCUUGCAUUUGUUUGAGGGAACGACGGUGCACCAAUCGCAAGGCAAAGGAAGGUGGGAUCGACACCAAUAAGAUCACGCAGCGAUCUACUCUGGGGAGUGGCGCUUGUCGUGGCUGAUGCAAACAGCCCAGCAAAUGUGCUAGUCGUUGUUGCUGGUGCAAUGGAAUUGGAAGCACUGCUGAUUGAGCCACAACUCGUGCCACGACCAUCUGUACCAAUGGCAUCCGAGGGUGCAGGCAGAAAGCAAGGAAGCAUCGGGGUAUCAUUAUCUUUAUCUGGCAGGUUGGAGUCCUCUAGCUCAGUGCCAUCGUAUUGAUCAGCUUCAUGGAAGCAAACAUCUUCAUCUCCCUUGUCUUCCUCCUCUUGCUUGACAUCCAUAAUUGACUCAGCAACCACCUCUGUCUCUGUACCAUGUAAACAAACACAAUAUGAAAGAACAAGUCACUCAUCAAUGUUGGUUGAAUGAUCAAAAGGCCAGCCGAAUAAGGAAUGAGACAAGAAUCAUGCCUUCCUUUUUUGUUACAGCAAUAAGAAGAUUUUAAGGAGCACGAAUUUGCUAUAAAUCACACAUAGUCUAUCUAUAGAUAGUAAGACACACAACAAAAUGCAAAAAUAAGCAUACCAUCCACAUUUGGCACCACUGCCACUGGCUGCUGCUCCUGUGGUGGUGGAGAUGGUGGCGAUGGACUGCGCUGGGGCUCCUCCGUCGCUGCCUCGACGCACUGAGGCUCGUCCACCUCGGCCACAGCAGAAGUACCAUUAUCCUCUUCUCCCCCCUUCUCCUCAUCCUCAGUCUCCUUGUCCCGGUCCACAUUCUCUUCCCCCUUCUCCUUGUCCUUGACCACAUUCUCCUCAACCUCCACCAAAUCAGGAGGCCGAGGUGAAGGCGGUGCCGGAACAGUGAGAGCUCUGCCGGUCUCCUCGACGAGGGCGCCGCAGAAGGCGCGAUGAGUCACGAAACUGUCCCUCCUGAACGAAUCCAGCACGCCGGGUGAUGAAUGAAUCGAACAAGGAUGCAAACACUUGGGACGAGUUGGAAUUGGGGAAAAAGAAGAAAGCCUAAAAGUAGUGGAGUACCUGGUGAAGAGGGUGCCGCAGUCGCAGCGGUACUCGCGGGUGCCGCAGGUCUUGGCAUGGGCCUUGAGGUCGGCCUGGACGGCGUAGCGCUUGCCGCAGCGCGGGCAGGCCCACCGCUUCUCGCCGUGCUUGCGGCAGAAGUGCUUCUUGAUGCCCGUGAGGUCCCCGAGCGCGCGGGCCGGCGAGUGGUGCACGCAGCCAGGCUCCGGGCAGACGUAGACCCUCCGGCGCGGCGGCGCCGCCCCGGGCCCGCGCUGCCGCAGCCGCCACGGCAGGUUGUGGCCCCGGCGGUGCAGCUGCAGGUUCUGGUCUCGCUGGAAUCCCUUGCCGCACACCUCGCACACGAACCGGUUGGUGGCCAUGAGCGUCCCCGGAGACAGCGCGAUCACCUCCGCGUCCGGGUCUGCACGCGAACACGAACACGAACACACACAGGCAAGCAAUCAAUCAAUCAGAUCAACAGAGUUCGCGCGAUACCAACAACCACCCCGCCCCCUUCCCCUAAAGAAAAGAAGAAGAAGAAAAAAACCAAGUCUGCGCUCUCACCUGGCGUCCCCGGGAGGUUCCUCUUCUUCUUGGCCGGCGCCGGCGCCGGCGGCUCCGUCGGAUUGGGCGGCAUCUCCGCUCGAUCUGGCGCCGCAGCCGUUCCCAUGAGCUCGCCCGCCUUCCUCAGCUCCCCCUUAUCCACCAUGGCCUGCUCCAGCGCAUAGUACUCGCCCCCCUUUCCUCGCUUCUCCUCUCUGCUCGCUUGCUUGCUUUCGAUUGGGGGAGAGAGACGGAUGGGAGAGUCAGAGCAGGAGAGGCAUCGGGAUGAGGAAGGGGCGUUCCUCCGGUCCGGGUGGGGGGGUUGUACUACCGCGGGGUGCCAAGCCAAUCCGGCACGUUGGCUUUCCGGUGUGGGGUGGGUAGCGUCCCGUCGCCGCCGUCAGAUCCCGCGCCGCGAUGCGUGCGCACGUGGUCUCCUCCAUCCUUCACCCCCAUUUACUGCCCAGCCUUUCUGGUGGUGCCUCCCUCGAAUCCAUCCAACACAACACACCCUCCGAAAUCCCCACAGAAAAUGACAAUCGCCCGUGUCCAAUCGCUUCACCGCUGUGCCGUCCCUCCCCCUCCCUGAAUUCCAUGUACGUACGUGUAUUAUUCCCGUAUAAAUACUGUAGUACUCCCAGUGCAUUAAUUAGUUAUACUUCCAGCAUAGCACUGCUCCGUAUAAGAGAUUAGUACUGGACUACUCGUACACCAAGUCGAUGCUGGGGAUAUUUUUGGAGACCACGGGAAGGAAAGGUACUAGCUAGGGCAGGCAGAAGACCAGAGGGUCCGUGUUCCUCCAGGCCAGCGAGGUGAACCACACGCGGUCGGCAGCGGUUGGAUUGGAUCUCCCGGGGAGAAGUCGACAACGACGCGGGCCCAGGGCCCAGGCCCAGCUAGCGCGGCUGCUCGGAGAUCGCCGUUAUCCACAUGGCGGUGGGGGUUGUCGUGUCGCGCCUCACAAAAACCGCGGCGUAUGUCCAUACGCCCAACGGCAACGGCGCCGGACGUACUCGCUGGCGUGGCCGGGAGCUCUAGCAACGGAAAAGAGAAGAAAAAUAAGCAGGGAAAGAAAAGUGAAGUCGGCGGGUUUUUAUAAUCUCUGUGUGCUCGCGACGCAGGAACUUGUCGUGUUGAGGGCUUUGACGGUGGCGGAUAGUAAAUUCGUCCUGAGCUGAGCCACGCUCUCUCCCUUUUUCCUUUCCCGUUCUUUUUUCUUCUCCUCUUUGCUUGCUUCUCGCAAAGGUGGACUAAACACGACUCUAUGACUAAAAGAAGCUUAUUAUUGUUGCUUGCUUUUACGUGGAGUUCCGUGGCCUAGGUUUCGUGUGGACGGAGAGGAUAUUUUUAGGCGCAAUCGCUGGGCAUCGCCGUUCGCGUUGGUAGACCCACCUCGCGCGUGUGUGAGUUGUGAAUGUGGGUGUGCGUGUUGGAUCUAUCGCCUAGUACGGACAGAAAAAGCAAGCGAGCGAGCAAACAGUGUCCGUUGCCAGCACAGCAGAGCAUGGAAAUGUCAAAUGGGUGCGGUUUUGGCGAGCAUUUAUUUUUUCCAUCUUUUUUACCUCGGGGCAAGUUCAGGUGUUUCCCACAAUAAAUGUACUUUAGUUUUCAGUACAUGUGUUUCUAAGUUGUCCUACCAAGUCCGUUUCGAAAGAAAAAAUGUUAUCCUCCCAAGCAGCGUUUUCAUGGUUCUGAAUUUCAAAACCAAACUACAAGGUAUCCAAGUUUUUUUUCACGGCAAAGGCAUUGGUAGAUCUUGACAAAAACAAAAAUAAAUCAGCAUUUUAUGCUAGAUACCAAACCUAGUGAUGUUUCAUCCAAUAACCGGGCGGCGACGGCAAGCAAAUCAAUCUCGCAGAAUCUAUUGCACCUGACACCGACAAUAACCUAGUGAAAAAAUAAAUCAACAUCAAGAAAAUUUUGGAGGAGGCAAUGGUUUUGUUCGUGGAUCUGUGGUGGUCACGGGAUUCUGCUCGGAAAAGUAUGAGGAGAAAGGGCUCAAUGGACGAUGCUGUCUGGAGAGACCGAGAGUAGAUAAUCGAUGGAGUAUAGAUUAUAUCAUGGAAGCCAUAGUGUUUCGGCCGAGGUAUUGAGGGUAAAUAAUAUAUGGAUUGGAAAUUGGAACAUGGAUGAGAUAUGUUUGAAAGGGGGGGGGGGGAGGUGGCGAGGGUAGGAAAGGGGUAGAGCGAGAAUGGAGGGGGGGAAAGCGGGACAUGGACAUAGAUAAGGGAUGGAGUGGAGACUGGGUCAAAAGGCCAUACGGGUUGAAGAGACGGCUGCAAUUGGAAGGGAUAUAUAGGGACAGAGCAAGGUGGGAGUGGAUUAAAUAAGAGUGGAGUGUGAAUCAAAUUUCGAAGAACAUAUAUGACUGAAAGGGACAACGGCGACUAGGGCAAAGAUCAAUUCAAGAGCAAGUGGCAGGGGUUUAGAUAUUUGCGGAAAUCAUGGAUGUGCAGUCAUUUGAUGCAUCAAAUUAGAUUGAUCUAAGCAUUUCUCCUUUUGAGACCUUGCAGUGACUUGUGUGGACAUACCUCUUCGACCAUCAAUGUAUCUUUGAUUUGCACGGGAUUAACAAAAAUUCCCUACCCACCUUCCCUGGUUUUAGAUACCAUGUACUUUUCUACAAACUUGGUCAAACUUGAGUUUGACUUAGGACAAACAUAAAACAUCUUAUAAUAAGGAACCGAGAGAGUAUUAAACUUGAACUAAAACGGCUCGCUCUGUAUUCUGAGUCUUACAUCUCUGAAUCGUAUGAAAUUGGACUACAGUUGCCCCGCCCACCGCUGGCGACUACUCUGUUAAGCUCCAUCAAAUAUUCCGACGAACUUUGGCAAGCUCCAGAGUCUACUACAACGAGCUUCGACAAACACCGUGAGCUCAAACCAAAUACAAUUCUAUGGACAUCUAAACAAAAAUAUUUGAAUUGGCUGAUAUCUUGAUUCCAACUAGCAAUAUCUUGUACAACGGAACAACAAAAAAAGUUAGUAGAACUCAUUGAAGUAAACAUUCUGAUUCGGUAUUGGAGCCAAUUCAGUUUUGAGGAUAUCUAAAACCAAGCCUAAAGUUUCUUAGGAAUUAGUAGAAAUCACAAUGGUGUAAGGUGUACCGAGUUGCGGGGCUGGCAUAGGAGAUAAGGAACGGUGGUGGCAGAGGGGACUAGAGCUAGAAACUUUUUGGUCAUCCUCGCAACAAAAAUUCCUAAAACACCAAUUUGUCUUUUCCUUGUGCUCGUCUAUUACCCUUGUCCCAAUCCACCGAUAUGCAUGCAAUGCAAGCACUCCAAUGGACGGGAAAUUGGGAACCAGCGGUAAAAGGCUACUCCCCCAUCCCAUUUCGGUCCAUGGUCUAAUUUUGCGCCUUUGUACGGUCUAUUCUUCCCCCGCACGCUCCCAGUCACACGAUCCCCAUUUGCUCGUGGUCCCUUCCCGGCCAAGAUCUUUUCUGUUCCUCGAUUCGUGUGUGGUUUAGCGCCGCCAGCCAUCCCACCUGCGUGUUUGGAUUUGUUAUGUAAAAAGAGCCCACGGGCAACCGAGCCGUAGUGGAGUUUUGGAUCGGUCGUCACCUGGAAAAGAAUAAAUAAUUUUCGGAUGACUGAAGUGUAAACUGUAUUAUUGCAAGCAGUUCGACGAAAUAUACUACCAGUACAUGGGGAUCGGCGACACUAUAUAUUGGCCCUCCAAAAAAGAGAAAUCAGCCCCGGGACGAAAGGAAAGGUCGAUGGCUACGUCCAAGCAGGUGGGGACAAAUGUGGGCAUAUGCAGCAAUCCAAUCAUUCGUUCACGGGAAAGCUCUUCUCGGGAAGGGAAAGAAAGGUCAUCCGGCGGAACCUAUCAUCGUGCAUGCCCCUUCGGUGAAAAGCAAGCCGUCUUUCACGCAAGAUAGCUUAACCACAAGCAACUUAUUGAUCAAGAAUUCAUUCAAGAUACACCCGUACCAGUACUGCUAGCAUCUAUGGAGUGAGAAAAGCAAACAGUUCCACAUGAACAGCACUUGAUAAUUCUUUGUGCUUCUUCGACCUUACCUACACACAACCAUACAGGAGUGCUAGCUAGCUACCUAGCUGUUGAGCAAAUUCUGGUUUGGUUUCAUCAGGAUGUGAUUAUUUUACUGAAUGGCCUCGUGAGUCUCUUGUGAUCCGAAGACAUGCAGGCGAGUUGGGCGUGAGUGGGGAUCAGUGCUGACGUCAGUUUGACCGGACAAGAUAGGCAAGGGGUAACUGACUCUGACCGAAACUCUCAGCAGAAAAAAAACGGCAACUUAUCAAUGAGAGGGCCGUUGCUGUUGCUCCGUGAGAUCAGGGGCCGGGGAUCGGAUAACGGCCGUGCAGCCACCGUGGGCUACUUCCCCGCCUCACUCUUGAGAUAUCUCUCGAGAGCCGUUUCUUUCCAGAAUGUUCCAAAUGACAAGCGGGGCGGAUGACACUGCGUUGUCGAAAAGGAUUGUGUUUGGUUAGCCGGCCUGGUGAACCGCUAAUGCUGCUGCGAGUGGACGGCGGCGUCCAGUUAAGUUGUUUCUUGAUGCUGACGCAGCUGGUCAAUGGCAACAGUGCCACCAGAUAGCAUUACAGUAGGAAUUUUUUGGGGCUACAGUCUACCGCAGGAAGGCAGCAGCAACACAUGUUACUACGACUCUUGACCUGAAAAGACUUGACCAGCAUCAGUGAAGUGCAUCGCAUACGCGUACAGAUCGGCACAGGAGGAAGUAUACUCGUUUAUACGUAUUGGUGUGCCAGCCUUUUGGAUACCCCUCCUGAUUAAAACUUUCUGCGGUGCGGAUGGAGGCAAGGGCUAAUCGACAAUGGAGAUGUCGGAGAUCUUUCGGGUCAUGCAUGGAUGUGUGCGAUAAUGGCCGUCCACUUGCGCGGGACCCUUCCGAUCCAUUCCAGCCCCGAGAUGGCAAGUAAUUUGCGACGGAUCAUCGAGGCGGAGGCCCGGGGGGGAUAGGAUGGCACAAAUAAGAUAUGCUAUUGGCUGUGAGAUCCCGUAAUGGGGGCUCUCUGGCUGUGGCCUGUGGGGGAUGUCCACCACAUCAGGUGAUGGAGCUACCAGACCGGAGAGGGACACGGCGCCCCGGUGUCACUUGCUGAGAUGAGGAAUCGAUGCCGCGGUUGGGAAGAAAAUACUGAAAAAGGAAAAUGCACUUAAUUCGCGUGUGUGGCCCGUGAUGCUGUUGCGUGCAGGCAGCACCGCAGCAGGGCGUCUAUCCGUACAGAUGCUGGAGGAGGGUGUGGGAUUGAAGGAGCCGGACUGCUGGAACGAGUGGUGGGCCCGGCGAGAGUGGCCAGCUCGGAUGCUCGGUGGAGGGACCUACGUGUCGGUGCCACUACCCAUUUUUCUCAGGAAUGGGUCUCUAGCUCUCUUUUUUUACUGUACGAAUCGCUAGCUUUCCAAUUAGCUAACGCCUAGCUGUCGCUGCCAAGAAAGCUGACAGAUAAGAUAGAUAUGAUCCGUACGAGUAGUGAAGAGGCACUGGCAGCCUGGCAUUGUUGUUGGCCAGCCAAUUACAAGUUUGACGAAGUCCUUCAUGGGCCUUGGGCCGGACCUGCCCUGGCUUACGGCGAUAACUUACCCAUCUUUUUGGUUCCAUCUCCGGAUAUCCAGUUAACUGGAAACUGCGUAUAUACAAAACAUCAGGAGCCUGCGUAUAUACAACAGGCCCGGACGGCCACUACCAUAGACAUACUGUAUCUCCAUCCAGCUUCGAUGAGUUGGAUCAAAAGUAUUUACUGAGUUUCAGUUGGCUAAUACAUGCAUAAACCAUAUACAACAACUGAUAUGCUGCAAUGGAAGAAACAGCAGGGCUGCCCUAAGAGCUGCAAGUGCGGUAUACCUCGCCACGCAUCGCAUCGAUUGGUCCAUGAUCAUGUGCGUAGCGAUCCGGGCCAAGGUACACACCAGUCUUGUCGAGGAGAGCCAAGCCUUCCUCUCUGCCAUACUUUGAAGAAUAAAGGUUCAAGUAUUCAAUGUCCUGUGUUACAAAACCAAGUAACAAGUGUGAGCUAUAGUAUAAAUUCCAGGUUUGCAAAAUGCAGAGCUUAUAGCUCUGUACUGAAAAUCAAUUUAAACAAGUGAAAGGCUGAAUGGUUCGUAGAGUCACGUAGUGUUUCUAAACGCCAUUCUGGUCGGAUGAUUAACCCUUAAAAAAAUGUAAGGUGAAGUAGGAUAAAGAAGACAAAGCUUAGCUAAGUCACGGAUCCUAGUAUGGGAUAAGUUACUCCCAAACAACAUAGUACCCCUUUAGACUGACUGCGAAUAGGAUUGUACUGCAGUAGAGAAAAACACAUUCAGACAUUCUAAUUUUUUAAAAAAAAAUCACCUGCAUGCCACUGAGAAUGCGCUCUAGCCUGAGGGACGCAACUGGUUCAUGUGAGGAGGAAAACACUUCGCCAGGAUAAAAAAGAACUCCGUCACCUGGAGGAAGGCCACGUCGGAAACAGAUCUGCAAAUCAAAAAGUCUGAGAAUAAGAAGGUAUCAUUGUAGCCGUAGAGCACAAUAGUCUACAAUACACCAAACUGAACAAAAAAUAUAAUCCAACUUUGAAAUGUAUAGAGUUAAAGUUUGAAGUCUGAAUAAUAAUGCUGGUGUUUAGAUUAAUGGGAAAUGAUAUUAUUAAAAGGACAAGCUUUAUAUACUCCUGAAUAGGAGCAAAUAAUGUUGAAAUUUCAAUGUAAUACUAAACUUAGAAUCCAUUGAAAAAAAAAGGUGUGAACUCUAAUAAACUAGACACCAGCAGAUAGCCUGGUCAAAUUUUCUUGUUUAUUUAUCAAAUACUAACAUGUUCAAAUGUCCUGGAUUUUCUUUAAAAUGUUACGAAGUACAUAAGCAAGCGAGUAUCAUAUAUAGUGAUUUCUCGCUUACGAUGUCACACCGCUGGAUAUGCAUGGAAUUUGAUUUAUUUUUUCCAUGUGUGUGUUCAUGCGUGCAGUAUGCAUUGAAGCUCAAAAUACAGACACAUGCAAGUAAUAUUUCUUGGAACAGUGCCUUCUUUUAUAUGAGCUCCAAAUACAAUAAAUUUAACUAUCCCCUCAAAAAUUUCACACUUAUGAACAUAAGUGGGAUACUAUAAGAAGACUACUAUUGUAAUAUCUGAUCACAAACAUAUUUCAUGCAAGGCAGCUACCUUCUGUGCACCAAUGCCCGUGAUUGGUAGUAUGGUACAAAUCUUUCUUCUAAGACCAGGCAUACCAGUAAAACACCACAAUAGUACCAUAAAGUGCAGGAAACAAGAAACCAUUAUCACUGCUACGUCCACUUCCUUAUUUCAGGUGUUGCUUUCCUAUGAAAUUGAGAGCUCAUGAAAAGAAACCGAAUGUUGUUCCGUUUCCGACGUUAGAGAGCUCCAGCCAUCAAUUUGAUGGAAGUUGACACAUCAGAAUUUGGCAAAAUGUUGUCAUGUUUUCUGUCAUGCCAUGGGCUUUCUGACCUUUGGGUUUCCACAUAACAUGAAUUAAAGCAACAAAGGUUCCAGGCCUGUCAGGCAUGUCUCUUUUUCAUUUCUUCCAACACGAAAUGAAUUUCGACAGGAACUUUGGGGAGGGAUGUUUGAUGAAUUAGGAACAAAUCCCAAAAAUAAAAUUGGAACUUUUAUGUUCAUUUGGUGCUUGAACCAGGGAAUUUUUUUUAACUCCCACCUGAAAUGUCAGCAAAAAUAAAACCUUAAGGCCUUUUUUGGUGCUAGAGUUUUUGGGGUGUUUUCUAGGGUAUUAUCCACUCCAAAUUGAAAACACUAGAAACCCCAAAUGGUUGUUUGGUAGGAAGGGUUAGAGGGGAUUAUCCCUAGUUUCCCCCCAAAAAAAAACUCCAUUUUUGUACCAAAUUAAAAACUUCUCAUACCAAUGUUUUGGGUUUUUGAGAGUUUUGGGUGAACACCAAACCCCUCAAAUACCAAAACACUAGUAACUAAAAAAUACACUAACACCAAACAAGGCCUAAAGGUGUUUUUUACACAAAUAACUUCUUUUAAGCAGCAGUGCAGUCACACCUGUAUAAAUUGAUGGCAUCUCAUUAUAUAAAGAGCUUUUCCAAUGGCAAUGCAAAGAAAGCAUACCUCAGCACUUGGAAUCAUAGCCUUCUCAUAGCAGUUGGUACCCCAAUAGAGAAAUCCCGUGCCACCCUCCUUCCACACUCUCCACAUCACUGCCCGAUGCUGGGUUCCACGCAUCCCAAGAUGCCAAUUUGGUUGCGGGUCAGUAGGGCCCAAACAAACAUAUGUCCACCACUCCUAGAUUAAUUGAAAUGAUUUCAUGAAGAUAUAAGUCACGAACUUCAAAAAAACAAAGAGUUUCAUUACAUGCAUACUCCAUUUAAAAUUUUAUAAUAAAAUGAAGAUUAAAAUAAUUUAUAUGAGAAAACCAUAUAAAAUGCCGUUGACCAACAGCUCUUUUUGAAGGGAAAUGACCAGGACAGUCGAGAUAGAAUAGUUAAAAUAAUAGACUUCAUGCAGACUGCAAAACUUAAAAUACUAAUGACAACAUCAUAUCUUUAAGAUUGUACGCGAAGCUCUGAUCCUCUGGCUGCAUUGGCAACAUACAAGAGAUUCCUCACUGCAUCACUGAAAACAAGCCCGCAUAAUUUGAAGAACCACUUCAAUCUGUUGACCAGAUACCACAAGCAGUGUAGACGCUAAAAUAGAUAUUACAGACCUGUCUAGAGCAUUGGAUAUACUGAUAAGUAAGAAACUAAGAAUACACAAAGAUGUGGCACACAUAAAUGUGUGUCAAUUCAGUUUUACUGAGCGCAGAUUGUCCACAGAAACAGUAGUUACCAUAAUAAAAAAGAUACAAACCUAAGGAAGGUACACAUCAUAUUUUCAUUAAACUCUGAAACCUGACGCACUAUCACCCAACAAAUUCACUUUUUGUUUCAGAUGAAAUGUAUUAGUCAGAAAACAAUUUUCUAACUUCUUUAGCCCUUUAAGCAUGGCUUCUUCUUACUACAAUAUCAAGCAGAAUAUUAAUGGACUAACGGAAUAAAAAAAACUGUACAAGGAACAUGAGCAUAAUUAAAAAUUAACUAGGAGUGAAUCUGCAAUUACUUCACCAAGCUCCGGUCGCAGUUCGGCAAUAAUAUCCUUCACUAAGUCCUCUCUUGUACCAAGAACCCAUUCGCUGUAUAAGAAAACACUAAAUCAGUGAUGGAAGUGGUUCGUUAGUCCCGUUAGACAUGCAUUUUGUUAACAAGUCCAAGAUGGAACAAUAUAAUCGACUUUCAUUAGUUUGAACCGAUCCAGAAACUAGCCUUCAUGUUGCAUAUCCCACAUUCACAUAGUGCUAACACAUUCCAAAAUCAAUCAGAGCUGUCAGUUUCAUCAAAUUGUCAAGGCCAUCCUACCACAAAAUUCCUCUCCAAUAGGGCAAUGGUAUUUCAUUUAGUUUGGUCUAUUUUUGUUGACAGAACUGCCGUUAGUUUUAUGCACCCCGUGCACUUGAUGAAUAACUUAGGCUGAGGAUUCGUAUGAAAAGGCAAUUGAAGAUAAGAGAUAACACAGUAACAUUUCUAUGUUCUUGACCUUAUACAUUUUAAAUUUAAAACCAAGUACACAAAACCAUUUUAGCGUAAGUCUAGAUGCUACAGGAAAUUGAAAUAGAUGCAUUUUCAUAAAUCAAUAUAUCUGGAAAACCAUGUUCACAUCAUGCCAGACCAGUGUGACAAUACAUAUACGUCUUUUUGCAACCUAUGGACAUGACUGGCAUACCCACACGAUUUCAGCAAUCCAGAACAAACAGAGAAGUGCCGAGCAUGCAUACCUAGUGCAAAAGAUUUGCGUAUGUGGGCGCAGAACAUUUGGAACUUUUGCAAAAGCCUCAAAGGUAGAGGGAGCCAGUUCAGAACCACUUGGACCUAUACGAGCCAUUCAACAUGGAAGAGAAAAUUAUUUAUAUGUUAAAGAAACUUAAAGACUUGUCAUGCAGAGUCAGCAUCUAUAUGUAUAAUCAUUUUCAAAAUAUCCAGAAAACCUAAUACCAGGAAGGGCAACCGAAGUUUGUUCAGAUGUACAUUUCAUAAAACAUAUACAAGGCAAGCACAAUACGUAAAAAAUGGCUUAAUAAUAAUAAAUAAAUAAUCUUACGGUGCAUCAAAUCUCAAUAGCAGUGAUAAAAGCUACUUGGAACAUCUCAAACUUCAUGCUACUUGGAACAUCUAAAACUUCAUGCUGGCAUCCAAACAAACUGUAAAUUUUCAACCCUGUGUUGAUUCAUUUCAUAAAUUUGGAUUGCACCUUCACUUCUUUGCUUCACUUCACUAAAUAUUCCCCAUCAAAUGGGUACUUAAUAAUAUACAUCAGUAACUUCAUCAACCAAACAGUUCUCUAGCAUGUGUGCUAAGCUUCCUGAUUAAGUAAAUUUAGCUUAAAUGUCUAGCUCAGUACACUGAUCCCUUACCCAAAAGAAAGACCUAUAGGGGGGCAGUCCCUGUGGCUCUUUAUGACAAGAAGAACAACCAUGAUACACAACACGGAGGCCAAGCCUCGAACAAGGGUGAGCUGGGCAUGCACUCACGCCAUCACAGAACCAAAAUCCACAUAUAUACUCCUUUAAAGAGGUGUAUUUUUACACGUGUGUUAAUCAAGAAAAGGACUCCAUAUUUUCCAUAUGUGAAUCCAAGUAUGUAAGUAUACUCACCAGCAUAGUAUGUCGUUAAGAUACGGACAUCAGGUGUGUAUGUCCGUAAUUCAUUAGAGAUGUUGCGGAUCACUUCGUAUUGUUCCAUAUUCAAUGGCUGAAAAGUUAAGAGAAAGUGUAAGAUGACCAUGUUUAUCUCUUUUAAAGAACAAAGUGAGCCAUGUACAUGAGUUGAUGCGGUUUGAGGCAUCAGCUUAGAGUUGAACUGGUUUGGCCCUUAUGAACUUCUGCACAUGAAUAGCACUGCAUGCAAGGGUCACAUAUCCAGUGCAAACAUGUUAUCACACAAACUGUUGUGUUGUGUAGUCGUUUAUGAUUUCAAGUUUGAACUCAAGUGAGUUAGGAGACAUUAAAUUUGAAGUUUGCUGUCCUCGAGCUUCAAUAAAAGUCCAUUUAUCAACCCCAUAAAACCAUUUCGGUACCUUCAACUGCCUUAACUGUCCACUUUACAACCUCGGGUGGUUCCAAAAGUGAUUUGAGCUGAUGUGGAUACCACAUGUCAGCAAAUAAAUUAGUUCACACUAAGGUUUGGGUUAAACCAUAUUGAGCUCCCUCAUGUGGCAUUGAUGGCAGAUAAAACUAGUUGUAAAACCACCCGAGGUUGAAAAGCGGACAGUUUCGUUAGUCUGAGGUUGCAAAUCAGGCAGUUUUAGAGUUCAGGUUUGAAAAUUGAGCUUUUGUCUGAUUCAUUCCCAUGUCUUUAGCUAAUAGAUUGUCACUGAUUAAACCUUUUUCUCUCACAAAAAGAGUGGAUCCAAACUUCAAAUUUAGUGAAUGAAGUUACACUAAUUGGGAUCUACCUUCCAAACUUUAUUAUCGGUUUUUUUUUACGUUGACUUUGUACUCAAACCAAAAACGUCAAGAAUCAGGAUAUUCUAGGAGGCUAGAGAGCAUAGAAGUGGCUGACUAAUUGAAGUUGGAGUACACCAAACCCAUUGAACCUAUUAGUGCUUGUACAGUUAUAUUCAGUGCUCAAUGCUACAUAACUCUUGGCUACGCGGGGUAGAUAUAUCUCUGCAUGCUCUUAUUUUGGUUGGGGUUGCCACGGUUUUUUGGUCCAUGUGUUGCUCAGUGUGGCCUGUUACAUUUUCUUCAUUUGAUCACGGUUUUGCAGUGUACAAUAAACUCUGUAAUAAGUUUGGAUAUAUGCAUCUCUGAUGAAGAGGCUAGGUUAUUAAAGCUUCCAUUUCUAAAAAACAUAUAACUCUUGAUGAACUGAUCUACCAUAAAAAUAAUUUAUGUUACAGUUCAAGCUCUAUUUGGCUGUCUGCUGAUGUUAUUUGCAUGUCUAACACAGCACUGGAAAUUUUUUAUGUGCAACUCCAGGCAGCACCACAUUAUGUGUUUAAUAGCCAACUUGAGUUCUUGACAUUUUUUUUUACAGAAAAUUCUUGGCAUGUUAGAGUGGCACCAUUGAGCAUUAUAUAACAACAAUAAUUAUUGCCCUCCGAAUUCAACAAAAAGACCUAAAGAACAUUAAGCAUUAUUGACACCCUCUGUUUUUCACAAUACGGAGUACUUGUCAGCUUUGAAUACAUAUUUGGGAGCAAGAUACUCUCGAUAACAGGUCGAGCACGUAAAAAAGAAGUAGUGCAGCAGAGUGCAUUCAUAGGUUUGAUGGGGGAAAUUUUGGGAAGUUUGGCUAGGGAUUGGGGAGCAGGCAUGGUGAGAAGUUUUUGUUCAAGACAGACAAGUACUGAAAUGGAAGGAGUAUGUCUUUUCCAUUUAACAUGGUUAGACCUGACGCAUCCUCUAAUUGCUACAUUGUAUUAGUCAAUUUACUGCUGGGGCCUGCACUACAGUUUUACGGUAAAAAAAUUGCUAGUCAUAACUCAUAACUAUUUUGUAGUUCCGACUGCGUACUGGAAACUGAAAUUUGAUGUGGCAUCACAAGGCGCAAUAUAAGCAUAGCGACACUUGCUUUUUUUUGUAGAUAGAGCAUAGAGGUAAAAUCACGCACCUCAUCCCACAAGUAGAAGUAAGCUUUUGACCAAUGAGCCUCCGUUUUCAAGAUAUCAACUUCUCUUCGCAGGGAAUUUCUUGCUGCAUCAGUACUGUUGUGUAUCAAGAAAGGCGCCAAUUAAUAAAAAGAACAGAUGUUAACAACAUGGUAUAAAAUUUUGGUAGAAAUUAUAACAGUACCAUGAUAGGAUUGGCGCGUAGGGUACAGCAUAUGCUGCGAGUCUUGGAUCAGAGUAGUAUUCCUUGGCCUUUGGAUGAUCAGCUAAAAGAAUAGAAACAAAGUGGGAAAAUUGCACCUGAGGAUAUAUUUCUUACAAAUCAGCAUACUCCUUUGCAAAAGUAAAACAUAAAUAAAUGCAUUACCAGGCCAAGGGCAUGUGUAUGCAAGAAUGCGCAUGCUAUCGCCCCAUCUGCAGAAAAAUGGACUAAUUCUGUACUGGAGGAGCCACCUGAAGUGAUCAUCUAGUGCAUCAUACCAUCCUUUGGUACCAUGCUCCAAGCAGAACCGAUCUUCAAUGACAGUUUCAGAUAUCUAACAUAUAGUCAAAGGACAACAAGUGCAUAUAAAUAGAAUUCAAAUGUGAAAUCAUGAUAGCCGGACACCCACAGACAAUCUGACCAUAAAUUCCUCAACUGCAGGUCUGCAAAAAUCGUAGUGACAUGUCUCACACCACAAAGGAGGCAUACAUAAUUAUUUUUAUACCAUAAGAUACCAUAGCAUUACUACAUGCUGAAAGAGAAUAUUGGCAGGAUACACCAAAAACAGCAGGUAAAGAAGGUGUCAGUGGGAGAGUGAAAUCCCAAACAGUCAGGCUUAACUUCACACGAACUGCGACAUUGUUCAUAACAUCUUCAUCCAUCAUGUCUCCUAAUCCAUUGUUCUCUUGGCAGUCCUGGAAUGCUGGAAGGACUAACAUCCUCUUCAGUGUGGUUGAAGUUGAUGUUAGUCUUUGUACCUGCAUGUUAUGAAAUUGUAAGACAAGGCAUUAUAUGGCUAGCAUGUGAAAUAUUAUGAGAGUAAAAUACCAUUUCCUCUGGCGUUGAGCAGUCUCUGGAUUCAGUGAUGUCAAGACAAGUUCUCAAUUCUCUAUACAGCUGGUAUCUCUCAGAUUUUGGUAAUGAUUCUGCCCUGGAACUGCCAACAAAUUCAAAGCAAACAAAUAGUUCUUAAUAACUCAAAAUAAUGAAUAACUAACAUCACACAGAUGCAUAUAUGGCUACAUGUAAGGCUAAAUGUCAUCUUUGAGUUUGUGACCACCUGCAAGCAUCUGACUGGCACACAUCCUGUGUACCCAUGUUUGAGACUUAAAGCUUGGAAUUUGGCUUCAGGAUGUACAAAAACUAUCUGUCAAGAUGUUUGUUUCAUGAACUGAACCCCAUCCAAAUUUUGUAAACAUUAUUGAAAGCACAUCAGCGAACCAGACUCAUGAAUUCACACAAGCUUCAAAUUACCACCUCAUACGCCACAAUGAUAAGUCAUGGCAAUUUAAUGCUAACCCCUUUUUGUUUGCCUUUUUCUGCCUUUCCAUUUUCUAUUCUAGUUAGCUUAGGACAGGUUUUUGCUUGACUUUUUUUGUUUUGGUUUAGUAUUGGUCGUAGUUUUGAGUGUUGUAAGUUUUGGCAGCCUCCGUGUGUUCUUCUUCUAUAAAAAAUGGUGUGCAAUUAGGCACAUGUUCAAGAAAAAGGAAGUUCCUGGCAAGUUCAAAGACUAGGGACACAACCAAAAUAAUGAAUUGGUUUAUAAUGCGCAGCCCCCUGACCACCCCCCCCCCCCCCCCCCGCUUCCCUCCCUGUAUAGUCUUUUUUCUCUUUCUUUUUCUUCUUCUUUCAUUUUCUUUUCUUUUUUGAGCCCUUUGGGGCUCCUUUGUUGCCUGCUUGUACUCGCGCUUCUUGCGCUUUCUUCUUAAUGGAAAAGACACGCCGCUCGGCGUGUUCGAGAAAAUGAAUUGGUAGAAUUGAAUAAAGUCAAAACGAGCCAUCGUAGUUGAAUUUCUCCUUGAUGCAUAUUAAUUGUCGAAAUAUUACAUGUAUCUAGACGCUUUUUAGGAAUAGAUACAUCCAUAUUUGGGCAAAUUUGAGACAAUUAAUAUGGAUCGGAGGGAGCAUUAUUUUCAAAAAAAAAUGUUUUCUCUCACAUCUACAACUUGCGUACUGAUAUACCCAGUUACCAUGUUCCAGUAUACCAUUUGACCACUGGCAUCAGCGGCUCGAGUUUUGAGUUUAAGUCAUGUCAAAGCGCUCUGAGCAAAUUAUACUGGCACUCCUAACAUAAGUACAUAACCAAAUAUAAAGCAGCAAAGCCAAGCUUACUCUGUUUCUGCCCUUGUAGCAGUAAUGAAUAUUUCACCCUCAUAAAGACCAGGCUGCUGUCCACAAGGAACAUUUAAUGAGACCCAUAUUGCAGAUGUCUCCCUGUACAAACAAAGGUGAGCUACCAAUUAUAAAAUAAAAUCAAGACAAAUGUUGAUGUGCUUGAAUAUCGCAAGAACAGAAGCAGUACCCUGGAAGUAGGUUUAUUUGCGGGCACAGUGGAUCAAUAGGCACAAGAGCAUCUGGCACACCUAACAUAGGCACCACACGUCGCAACGUUACAGAUUGACCAACCACUAACCUGGUGCAGCAUUUUUAUAAUCAUCCAAAGUAGAAAUGUACAAAUGAUAGUACCCCAAUAAAUGAAUUCAAAUUUAAACAAACAAACCUGUCUCCAGAGGAUGAACAUAGAUCAGUGCACUGAAUCUGCACAGGCCCUGCGAUGCCUGAACUGAUCCAUGAAACCUUUGGACGUAAAGCAAUUUGAAAACUUUCCCUUUCAUUUCUUGCUGCCAAAAGGUUAACCUGAAGCGAUUUUGGAAGGAAGAUGAUCAAAUAUGAGCAAUCUGAUUGUAACAGAGCAUAAGAAGAUCAUAAAACAGUAGAAUUGGUGAAUAACAUCAUGUCUGGAGUAUAUUUAGAAGAAGAAAAACAUCUGAAGGGAAAGGUAGCAUGAUACUAGAGAGUUCUGCAUAUCAAGGCAUGCAGCAAUAGAUUAUUUGUCCUUCUAGCAAUGCUAAUAAAAUAAGUAUAACAUACAUGUUCUAGAGGUCGAGGUGCUUCUUGCUGGCUAACAUUUGCUGUGCUGGGCAUAGACCACACAUGCAAAAGAUCUGUUGAGUGUACUUUUGCAGGGUCAAUCACACUGGUACCGAGGCUUGACCCCUGUAAGCCUCCAUCCACCCAGCCAUAACUAGUCCCGCCUCCAGCUACACCUUCCACAGGUGGUACAGAAAUUUCUUGUGUCUUACCUCCUGAGAUAAGAAUACAUAAAUAUUUGUAGUCAGGCUACAUGUACAAAAUUUAAGCUCCAAGCUUCCUUUAUUGCCAAUAGAUGCAAGCCAAAUCUAAAAAAAUAUAUAUAGACAAUAGAAAUAGUUAUCAACCACCAGUUCUUAAAUGCAAAAAUAAUUUCUAGUUGUGACAUAGUACUGUGCAAUGAACUCAUGCAGACAGUUGUUAUACGAGGCUCUAAUACUUGCAUUUUAGACAAGCAAACGGCUAAAAAUUCGAUGAGUCUGCAAGCUGUGCAUAAACUAUGUCGACCUUUAUUGGUCAAAGUGCACAUGCCUUGUUCAACUAAAACAUUUGCUGUAUUACCACUAGGAUAUUAGGCAAAAGCCACGAUACUUUACCACACAAGUACUGAAAAUAAACCCAAAGACAGUUAUGUGAACCAUUGCACACCAUCACCUCACAUUAUCGGAACCUAAACCGUAAGCGUCUGAUAAAUGAGGAUGCAUAUAUUGAUCAACUUUUUGCACAAUAAGUCCAAAUUCACUGGUUUCAAGAUAGUCAAAAUGCCAGAUAUAGGUGAACAUCCUUCAGCUUGCACAGGGUUUGUGCUUAAGAAUUCAGCAAGCUGCCUAGAAAUGAGAGAAAGGAAAAUUCAGUAAGCCUUUUAGACAAUUCAUUCAGUAUUAUGAUGCCCUUGCUUCAAUAACCCUAGUUUCAUGAUUCAUUUCUUAAUUUGCAAUCGUACAUGCAUACUAGAAAUUAUAUGUGACCUAUCGUGUGUGGUUUUGGCUUCUAGGCGGUCACUAAACUGAACAAAUACACUCCCUUAAGCUCAGAACUGAGAAUAUAAUGGGAUCAGGCCAAUAACCAAUUCCCGACUACAUAAUAUCGAAACUAGCUAGGACACCUCCAUCCAAGUUGUGCUCAGUGAUCACUCGGUCAGAACUCAGAACCAAACCUCUUCUCAGAGUGUAGAGACAUACAUAUGCAAGCUCCAUUCACAAAUCAGUAACGACUUCCUACCUACAAGCCGCGAGUACAACAGCGAGCAAACUUGACACAUUGCGCGGCACAACGCAAACUCAACUCAAAAGCAGCAAGCGGAAAAAACGGGCGCAAGGGGAUCCGGGAGCAUCCGACUGGGCGCCAAGUAGGGCGAUCGAGCUGUUUCCGCGCACCAGUCCAGUUCGAUCAGGUCGCGCGGGGGAGGGGCGAGGGCCGGGGCGGCAGCAGCACGUACCUGCGACGGAGUUGGACUCGUCGGAUUCCAUGGCGGCGCCGGCGGAGAGCGAUCGGUCGAGGAGGGCGGGGUGGGUUGCUUCUAGUGGGAGUGGUGGGAGUGGGAUGGGAGGAGGAGGACAAGGGGAACUGGGGAAUAGGCGAGGCCAGUGCACGCACUUUCCUGGCUACGUUACUGGCCAAAGUCCCAACUCCCGGUGCACGCACCGACCGUGGCGGCUUCUCAAUGAUCACCCUGGCGAAGUUGCCAAUUUGCGUUGCGCUGUGUGGUGGCGUGGCGCUGUGGCAGCUCGAAUUGCCCAUGCGUUUGCCUCUCUCUAGAAGACUCGCCAAAUUGAGUAUUGUGCGGAGCAAACGUGAUCAAGUUCUACUUCGUACCCAAUUCUCGUGAAUCAUGUGGCAUGAUCCGCUUUGGUCCGGGAAGGAUUUUUACAAAAGCCGGCGCUACGAGAGUAACACGGCACAGCGUUGCACCUUUCACGGACACCUGCUGCUUGGUGCUGCAAGACUUUCGCUCUAGAAUAAUAACAUUUCUCGCCUCUGCCUUUGAACUGAUCGGCAUCUUGCAGAAAUGACAUUAUGUGUCAAAGUGAUGGAUACGAGUAGAGCAUUGUGCACCUGCAAAAGUUUAUGCAAGAAUACAACCAGUUCUACUCUGCUGAUGUUUGGAUAAACUUUUGCCGGUGCACAUGCUCGGGCAAAGAACUACACGAGCCAUGACUGCACCGGGGCAAAAAUCAUAAGAUACAUUUGAAGUCAUCCCCUACAACAGCUAACAUAGCUCACUAUAUCCACCAAGCGUGCUUGUCAGGUAACAGCAUCAUAGGCUUUAAACUAAUCAUCUAAAGGAGCAAGGAAUAUCCAAGAUACACAAACCAUACAAACCAACCAGAGUUACGUUGUAAAAUUAUCCAUCUAAGACUGCAUGGCGUCAUCCCCAUCUGCUUCCCCUUGCACUUCACUGAACAUGUACUGGCUCUGAUACUCCAUCAGGUACUGCGUCGAUCUCUUGACAUCCAGAAAGAGCUGGUAGACCCGACUUAUGUCUUCCAUCUCCACCACCUUACCCUUGCGCUUCUGGCAAGCUAGAGCAGCAGAAGUGAUCAGGUGGAUUGCAUACCUGAGGGAGGUCUCUGUGCCAAUCUUUGUGAGCAAAACCUUUGCAUCUGCUGACAUGUCAACAUCCUCUUCUUCACACCUGAUGUCUAAGAUCUUCCGGAUCUCAUCCUCCGUGUAUGGCUGUGUUGUGAUGAUCAAGAGGCGAUCAAGGAAAUCAGAUGGUAUACCAUGUGGCGACCGGUAGUUUGUCCCCCGUAUGGUUGUAAUACCACGAUUUGUUGCAAUAACCAGGAUUGGAGCCAUAUCAUUCUCCAAAGCACGGUUUAGGAAGGAGAAACAUUCAAUAUCUAGCAUGUGGACUUCAUCGAUAAACAGAACACCAGGGACGAUCUCAGCCUUUCCUUCCUCUCUCCACUCUGCAACUUUUGUAUCGAUCUGCUCUCUAACCUCUGCACGAAUUUCACCAGUGUCACCAGUGAAAAGUGCAAGAAAACCCUGUGUCCUGCACAAAGAUAAUAGAAGUGAGUUGGUUGGGGCACUAAAAUUCCCACAGUAAACUACACUAAGAAUUGCAUAUGAAACCCAAUAUGCUUGUGUAUCAUGUGAUGUGUUGAUCGGAUAAGGAAGACUGUGACAGAAAAUAUUGAAAAGGCUCAAUACAAUUCGAACGAGCAGUAUCAUUUAACAUAAUCAUGGAACUUUGGUUAAGAACACCUUCAGCUAAAACCAGCAUCAAGAUCAGUUACAGCCAUCAACGGUUGCAGGUAUGUGCAUUGUGUAUGGCUGCAAGUUACCCAUCUAGCUCAUCUUUGAGGAUAGGGUAUAUUUCCUUCUACAAGUGUCAAUUAACUUGUACCAGAUCGACUUAUUUUCAUGGGACCAUGUACUUUACAUGAGCAUCCCUGUACCAAACUGGAAACUGAAGCAAGAUCUUGCAGAUCCUUUCUUUGGCAUUAUUGAAUAAGCCAGCUGGAUAACACAGAACUCCAUACUUAUCCAUAAACAAAUAGGCAGACCAGAACUCUGUUUGUGCACCUCAAUUAUAAUUGCAUUCUUUGGAGUUUGCAAACAAGUCCACGAGAUAUGUUAUUCAAGGAGGGCAUCAUUUCUAAGGUAUCAGCUAACUUUAUGGGAUGCUUAAAUAAGUAGGCAAAACUCUAUCCGAUUCCACCGUUGUUCAAUGGGAUUGGGGAAGCAGUCGAAUCAGUUAAAGGAUCUUGAUUGCCUGUAAUCUCUCAUGAAUGGUUUGCUGAACCAAAUAGCACAUUAGGAUUGAGGCAUUGUGGGAGUAACGGUAAAUUUUGGUAUCCAGGAGUUCUAGCAAGGAAUAACAUGGUGGCCACAGCACAGACCAUGAGCAUCUUCUUAACAUUCAAUCUAAUGACAUGACAAUUAUGAAAAUGGCGUCCAUGCUUCUAUUGGUCUGGGGUCUAUUCAGAACAUUGUACUACUAUGGAACUGCCAAAACAGAUUAUAAUUCCCAUAUCUAGUUUGGUUAAACCAUGUAAUGCUCCCGGGUCAUCUAUACCAAUGUAUUAAAUUGGAGUUGGUGGUGAUGGUACGACCGCCGCCGUACGUCAUGUCAUCAAAAUUACGGCCAAUAUGCCACCGCUCGUUAUUUCUCCCGACCCGGAUGCCCCCAGCGUCCAACCUGCUCGAUCCCUUCCCGACGCCCCACCCAACCUGCUCCAUCGCCCCCGCCGCCGCAGCCCCCUUCCUCUCUGGCUACCCCCCCACCCCCACCCCACCCGCCUCCCUUCUCUCCCCCGACCUCCUGCUCCUUCCUUCGCAUGGACAUAACUGCUUUUCUCGCUGCAGUUCGCGGCCUGGCCACUCCAAGCAUACCGACCCCACGCGAGAUCCACCCGACGACCGCUGUCCGCAGUCCCAACGCGUGAUCCAGAAAGUGGCCGUCGUCCGCCAUCCACGCAUGAGAUCCAGUACGUGCCCGGCCAUAGCUCAACCAUCCGGCAAGUCCUUGUUGUUUUCGUUUGUUGUGUUGCUUUGCACUAAUCGACGGAUAAUUCGAUAGCUAAUUGGGAUGUACUCCCAACCUGAUUGAUGGUAGCUGCUAUGGAUAAUAGAUAGAUUAGUGUUCUACCAUGCACCGAAUGAUUACCAUGUGCAUGCUGUGAUUGGAAAUUAGUAUCUACUGAUAGCUCGACUGCAUGCUUGGAAAUUAGCAUCUUCUUUCUAUGGGUUCCAGACUUUUGGAUGUAUACAAAUUUGCUCUAUGUUUUGAACUUUUGUAUUGGAUCUUUUCUUGUUAGAAUGUGAAAAUUUGGUACAGAAUUUGAAUGAUGAUUUAUUAGUGCACCGGAUCAUCUUUUAAAGUGGUCGUGACGUGUACGUUGGGCCGUGGCAGCGCACGGGCAUUUCCACUAGUAUGAAAAAAAAAUAGCAAUGCGUUGAUCACAAACAGCAGCUUGCAUGUGUUGAAAAUGAAAACUCAAAAUGAUACUAGCUUUGAGCAACUACAAAUUUAAAUGAUCUUCACAACUGGCAUAUACUCCUAUGUAAUUAUGCUUGGAUAAAUAUAGGUCACGUCCAGAAAACGAAUAGCUUGGCAUACUGCAGCAAAUAAUUUUAUAGUUCAAGCUGUGGAAGUGAACUGUAAGGCAGCCAUUAAUUUGGAUUACAGGCACCUUUGUUAAGUGAGCAAGUUCUUGCAAAUAGCAAAAAUAUUUCUUUUGGCAAAACAAUUAAUAAUACAUAAGGCUGGCUAUCAAGUUUGAAAAAUUCGAGCUUCAAGAUGCCAUUGUCUAUCUUCAAAUAGCUCGUUUGGCACCCAUCAUUUGGGCAUAGAAUUGUAGAAUUCAUUUUGAAUUCCAAAAAAAACUUGUUUGGUUGGCACGGAAUUAGCCACAGGAAUUCAAUCUCAAAUUCCAUGGAAUCACACUAUAACUAGCCUCAAUUCCUCUCUAAAAGACAUCAUUUCUCUAGAAUUGUCUCUCACUCUUCAAUUCCAUGUGGUAGACAAACAUGAUUUUUCAACCCGGAAUUCAAAUUCAACCAAAUGAAAUCCUAUCAAAAAUUGGAUUUCAUUUCAUUUUGAUCAAAUGAAAUGAAUUCUUGGUUGCCAAACGAGCUGUAAGAGCAUUUGGGGGCCAGUGGCUAGUCUAUCACACUGGGGACAAAUACACAGGCUUAGCAGGGUAGCUGAAAGUCCAUGGCACUUGUCCUAGUAAAUAGAAUUUCAAAUUCUUUAGGGAGUCAUUUUACAAGUAAGUGUUUUCUGGUGGCAGUAAUUUACAGACCAAGUGCCCUAUACCAUCAAUGCAUUACAUUACAUAUAAAGGUUUGAUUCCUUUAGGAAGUCAUUUUACCAGUAAAGUCUUUUCUGGUGGCGGUGAUUUGCAAGACCAGGUGCCCUUUAAAAUUUCAAUACAUUACAUCAUAUAAAGGUUCGAAUCCUUUAGGGAGUCACUUUACUAGUAAGUGUUUUCUGGUGACAGUAAUUUGCAAGACCGUGUGCCCUUUACCAUUUCAAUACAUUACAUUAUAAAGGCUCAAUGUGAAUUCUUUUGUUAGAGUUAUUGAAGGUGAUAGAUGUGGCUUAACUUAUGUAUAUACUCGACUCUAACUAUGGGAGAAUUCCUGAGAGGGAGAUGUGGAGUUACCUGCUAUUGAUGACAUCAAUUUCAUGUAAGGUGACGCAGUGCACAACCUCCUUGCGCUUCUGGAGCUCGCCCUCGGGGCACUUGACGAACUUGGUGUGUGCACCAACAGCGUCAUAAUCCCGCGACCUCCCGAUGGAGCGGCCAAGCUUAGUAACCUUCCCAGAGGCCUUGUCGAGCGCAAUCACAUCCCCGCUCUGUACCUUCUCCUUCCCCAGGGCCUCAAUCAUCUUUCCACCCAGCUCGUACACCGUCUCCAUGUCCGUCGUCUUCAGCGUGAGCCGUCCAGUCUUCCCGGCAGCGGCAGCACCUGAAGGUGCGCCCGAGCUGCCACUGGCGGCCGAGAGAGGGCGGUCGAUUGAGAUCUCCACGACCUCUCCCUCGAUGAUCUCUGCUUCCUCCUUGAUGCGGACGCCGAUGGCACGGCGGAAGGCCUGGGUGAGCGCCUCGGUCUUGGACAGGUCGAGGGAGAAGAGCUCGGAGGCGGCGACGGAGGCGAAGGGCGUCUCCGCGCCGAGUGACUUGGCGAUGCCCAUGGCGAGGGCGGUCUUGCCGGUCCCUGGCUGCCCCGCGAGGAGGACGGCGCGGCCGGCGAUCUUCCCCUGGCGGAUGAGCUGGAGGAUGAGUCCAGCGGCGCGACGCGCGGGGAGCUGGCCGACCAUCCCCUCCGAGGCGUCGCGGGCCUCGAGCGAGGAGUCCAGGCCCAGCCCCCGGAUGUGGGAGUGCGCGCCGAUGCGCUCGAUACGGGUCAGGUCGCGGCUCUCCGACAGCCGCUUCAGCUCCGACAUGGUUACCACACGCCGCCGCCGCCGCCGCCGCUUAGAUUGACCGUUCUGCAGGGGUCUGGGGGCGAGGUUUAAGACGAGAAGGGGGACGAGCUAGGGUUUAGCGGUCAGGUCGACUGGAUGGAUAUAUGAAGGCGAAGGGGAAGAAAACAGGGAGAGAAGAAUGCGAAUAGCGGAAGUGCCGAACUGGUCUGUUUUCGUGUUGAUGACAUAUUCAACCCAGCCCAGAUGUACUAAUGUUGGCCCAUUUAACUCGCCUGUCAUAACGCCCGUCUCAUAAUUCCAGUCCCCACCCCCGCUCAAAAAAAAAAAAUUCCAGUCCCCACCCAUUACCGGCCCGGGUGACCUCAGCCCGCCCCAUUGUUAUCUUGACUUCUGAAUCCAAAAAAAAAAAGGAAACAGGUAUUGCGGUCGAUCGCUAAAAAAAGGUAUUGCAGAGUAGCUGCUCAAUUUAAAAUCGAUGGUAAUCAUAACGGGAGUGACACAAGAGCCUCUCCAACGGCAUAGCUAUAUUUUGGAGCUUGUUUUUGGACAAAAUACACGUAUUGACAGUUUUUGGCUAUUCUGAACAAAUAUGUGUAUGCUUUUGGAGAUAGCUUUAAGUGGUAACAUAAAGUGUCAAGUAAGCAACUUGAUGAUGUCACGUGUAUUAAAUGAUGAAAGAUAGGCUUGUGGUAACAUGAUAUAUCACAUCACACUUUUCAAUGUAGAAUGGUUCUACAAGACGAUAAAUAAGGUUUAUAUGUUACCACAAAUUAUGUCAUUACUAUUGAAACAGCAAAAUAAACUAGUAACAUAUCUACUUCACAUUACUUCCCUACAGCGGUUUGUGGGACUUUAAGAGCAUGUACAAUGCUAGGUGUCUACACAUGAGUGCUUAAAGAAAGAGAUUAUAUGCACGUCGAUAUAAAAGUUAUGCCUCCAAUGCUAAGGUGCUUAAAAAGUUGUACGAUCAUCCACUUGAACCAGCCAAAUAGCUCGUGAAAUCAAUUCUCCAGGCACUAGGAUGAGACACAAGGUGAUCAGUUUAUUUAUGGCACCUGGUAAGCGUCGGAAGAAAAACAAAUCACCAAAGCCUUUGUGCAAGCACCCGAUGCAUGCCUUUUGAGAAAGAAAAAAACCCCAAUAUUUUUCUAAGCACUCACGUCAGGCCCUGUUUGUUUGGACUUCUGUUUCAGCUUGAGCAUUUUUACGGUACCUAGGUACUCCACGAGCAGAGAUGGUAGUGCCAAUCAUUUCUAACCGUUGAUUUAAUAGGGUAUAUUAGUCAUUUCGCCCUGCUAAUUCAAAUAUAUGUAAUCUAAACUUUCCAUCAUUGACCGGACCAGAUUGAGCGGAUCCUGCCGCAGCCAUUGAGUUUCCAAAUUAGGUGUAAUCAUCAUCGUUGCCAGGCGGCGUGCUACCCAGGAUCCACGUGAACUUGAUGUUAGAAGACGAUGGAGACUAUUCAUCUCCAUUAAUUCCAGAAUUUUAUACAAUAAAAUUGCUAUGCAGUGAUUGCAACGUCUGGAUGCCUAAUACAAUAAAAAAAUAUGUGAUCCUAGUUCUUGAGGCUAGUUUGUCAUAUUUCCAUUAUUAAUGAUGUCGAAGACGAAUUCGUACUUGAGCCGGCUAGCCGGCGGUAUGGUCAUCACCGCACCCGAGGGAUUAUUUGUUUUAUUCUAUCUGCUCUUCGAACAAGAACUACAUGGCUCGCUAGUUGCGCCUCCUCGCUGGCGGGCCAAGCCGCCAUGGUCGACAUUAAUUUCUUCACGAGAGAAUGGAAACGGAACGGAUAAACAUUUUUAUUUUUGUAAUUUCAAGUUGACGGGGUAAUAAUCCUUUUGGUUACCAUUUCCCCCCUAAAUCCAUAGUACUCCAUAGUUUUUGAAGGUGGUACUUCAUAAUGUUUCUAUUGGAGUACUAGCUAAGAUUGUCCAUUAGAUCGGAACAAAUGGAUGGCUCAUAUUUAUUCCGGGGUACCAUAAAAUAGUUCUUCAUCUUUUGGUGCUUCUAGCUCUCUGAAAAUCAUUUAUCCCAUUUACACAUGAAGCUGAGAAGCACGUCUGAAGGAAGCACCUCCGGACGUGCUUCUCAGUUUCAUGUGUAAACGGGAGAAGUGCUUUUUAGAGGACUAGAAGCAGCAAAAGCUGAAGCAGAAGCCCAAACAAACAGCGCAUUGUUUCUGGUCGCUAGAAGCAAAUUCUCUUCCUUCUCCAUCUCAACACUAGAAAAAAGGAACACAUUGUUUCUGGUCACACCUGAUACAAAAAGAGCAUCCGGGAGAUAGAUAGGAAAGAAAUGGUGGCACCAUUGAUUCGAUAUAGCCAUGAAGAUUGAGGACGUUGGUAUUUUUGUGCAAAUAAGAGAAGAUUGGUGCUUGACAAAUACUCCAUCUGAUCCUAAAUUCUAGAUUCAAAUGUGUCCAAAUAUGGAUGUAUCUAUUCUUAAAAAACGUCUAGAUACAUGUAAUAUUUCGACAACAAUUUAGGAUUGGAAGGAGGACUUAAUAAGAUCUCGUGGAAUCAGGAGAAGAAAUUACCGAAGAAACAGACGGGAAAGCAGUAUGGUCUAAAACUAGGGCAACAAUGACAAUCACGGGAGUAUGGCACCAUUUGUAUUACACAAGGUAGUUAUGACGUCGAGCAUGAAAACAGAAUAGAGUUGGGUUUUAGAAGAAUUCUGGCGAGAGAGAAGUAGCAGGACAAUAAGAAAGGACAACAAAAUGUUUUUGUUCUAGCGCCAAGUGCUAAUCUUUUAUAUUUAAGUAGAAACAACCCACUACUUGAUUUUUCUAAACAUGCAAGCAUGCCACGUCAUCACAUAAUUAAUUUGUUCACAUCUAUUUAGUGAAAAACUCAUACUUUGCACAUGCAUGCAUGUUACUUCCAUCGAUCUAUUCCCGCUCAGUGAAUAAUGUACCAUUUUAUUAUAUGUUUUUAAUUUUGAAUACUUUUUAUGUUAACUAAAAAUUUCUGCAAAUGCGGGGCAUCAUCUAGUAGAAUAUAGUAGAGGGCAACAUUUUUUAUGGAUGACACUUUUUAUGUAUCGGAGGGAGUAGCGAUUUAGUGACAAUCUCGUAUUUACGAUUUUGGAUGCUGUGUUGAAAAUAAAACCGAGAUAGCCACUUGAGUCAAAAAUACUCUACAAUGCAGGAUUUCACGUGAGUUAAGCCGAGUAGAAAAAACAAUCCCCAGAAACAAUACUGCCGCAGUGUGGCCGGCGGCGCCCGGUAACCAGUCGACAUCCGAUCGCCAAUCAUCUGAGACUGCCAUGCACCCCAAGAGGCCCGUUGGCCGUGUGGCCUUCCAUGAUGAGGGACGUGAGACGAGACAAAAUCCCUUUUGUCUGCACUCUGCACUCCGCACCCACCUGAUCUGUCCCGCGAACCAUCCCGUUCCCUUCCUUCGUCCAAAUUAAGGCCAUCAGCUCACCGCCGUUCCCGUCCGGCUCCUAAACUAAUCCAAUCCAGGCAGCCCGUCGGUGCCAUAUAUGGAAGAAUCUCCCCCAUCGCUUCGACACGGCAUCGCGCCAGAGCCCACAUCGUACCAAUUUCCGAGCACUUUUCACUGGCGAUUAUUCUGUUUUGUUCCGGAAGCUGCCGGUGAUCAGAUCAUGACAGUGUAUAUAGCGGAACUGAUGGGUCAAUGUCACUUGUUUCUUUAGGCAACGAGACGUGCGCUGCGCUCGUCGCUCGACAUGGAUCCCUUAAACUGGCCACCAUCUGUCCAUGCAUCAACGCAUGUGACCUUUUGCUUUAGCGAACCUUACAGGUUACAGCUGCCAAGUCAAAUGAACUGCCACCCCGGUGACACGUGCGGCAAGCAAGGCCCAGGUCAAAAAGGAGACGGGGGAAGAGUCGAUGCGCCGAUCAGCCGAAUGCCCAACUUGUCGGCAAGAGUUCCACGGUCAAGUCCAGUGGCCUAAUAAUCGGAACAAUCAAUCGUCAAUCGGUGGGGGAAAGGUAGCUUGGCGUAUCGGAAAUUGAUUGCUCUACUUCUGGCAAGCUUGUGGGUUUCAGGCUAGUAGUCAUCUCCGGUGCUCAUCAGAGUGCGCAAGGAGUACUAUCUGUCAGUUUUGUUUUUUUCUAAACUUAAUUUGACCUUGAUACUGAUAGUUUUCGAACCGUCAAUCAGAUCGGCGUCAGCCCAUCGAUUAUUGUGUCGAGUGAUUAAAUGCAGCAAGCAAGUCAUUGCCAUAAACCUGCCAUGGAUCCUCGCAAAAUACGGUUAACAUAAAUAAAAAAUCUGCUAUGCGCAUCCAGGUUCAGAGGAGACUGCUUCCUGAGAACCUCAUUGAUCUGUAAAGAUUCCCUUCCACUCCAAUUGAUCACCGGAGAAAGUAGUACCUGACGGAGGUGGUGGAUCUCGAGGCGGUGUUGACAGUAAACAAAGUGAUUGUGCCGUGCCCCUUUUUACAUGUGUACGUACAGUACCACUCCACCUUGACAAGAAAAGCUUCCGGUUCCUCGCGUCCUUGCUUGCCACAGCAGGAAAGGCCCCAUUUCAUCCACUUGCGCAGCCAUCCGGGAAUUCGUACGAAGAGAAGAAUACGGACAUUGUGCAGCUACCAAAUGUCGAGCAGGAACUCCUCCAGAUUUGCACGACGAGGUAGGUGAAUGGAAAAGAGCUUUCGCAUUUAGUAUAACCGGGACGGGUUGUGGCCCCGCCACGGAACCAAGAGGGGGAAACGGUCGCGACGGCUUUGAAUUGGACUACGGGGGCAGAAAAAUCCCGCACAGCGACGCGCAAAACGAGGGGAAAACUAACUUGGAAGGGGAAGGAAAAAAAAGGGCAGGCAGGCGCACGAGACCCCGUGGGCGAGAACACCUCCUUCCUGUCGUUUGUUCGUCUUCUUUAUCUUCACCCCUCCCGGAGAUCGCAAAAAAUUUCACCGGGUUCUUCUUCUGCUCUUCCCGUUGACGUUCUCGCCACUGCGGCAGCAAACAAUUCGAAACCCUCUCCCGCACUCCCCUUCCCUUCCGUGCCUAGGCGGCAAGCGCUUCUUCUCUCCUUUAUAACCCAGCGGCCCCUCCCGCGUGAGGCACCGAGGAGGAGGUGGCCAGGUGGGGGUAGAAGAAGAAGAAGAGGGCCGAGCCGAGACGAACCGCGCCGAGCUCUUCUUCCUCCUCCUCCUCCUCCUCCCGGGUUCGUGCCAGGUUUUGGGGAGAUGGAGCCGGAGAAGAAGCCGCCGGCGGUGUCCGACCUCGGCGCCUGGGGGAUGAACGUCGUCAGCUCCGUCGGCAUCAUCAUGGCCAACAAGCAGCUCAUGUCCUCCUCCGGCUACGCCUUCUCCUUCGGUACGUGCCGCCCGCGACCGCGAGAGCCUUCCCUUUCUCUUCCAGAUCUAGAUCCGCCGCCAUGGGUCGUCGCCCGCGGAUCUGAUGUGCCGUUGUUUUACUCUCUUUUGCGAAUGCAGCCACCACGCUGACCGGGUUCCACUUCACUGUCACGGCGCUCGUCGGAUGGAUCUCCAAGGCCACUGGCUACUCCGCCUCCAAGCACGUCCCUCUCUGGGAGCUCAUCUGGUUCUCGCUCGUUGCCAACACGUCCAUCACCGGGAUGAACCUUAGCCUCAUGCUCAACUCAGUCGGAUUCUAUCAGGUAUGCUUAUGCUUUAUUGCCCGGUGCCGGGCAUCGGUGAUGAAUUUGUUGUCUUGUUGUGUGACUGAAUGUGGGGAAACUAUUGUGCUUUUGCAGAUCUCCAAAUUGAGCAUGAUUCCGGUGGUCUGCUUGAUGGAAUGGGUACUGAACAGCAAGCACUACACUAGCAAGGUUAUAUCGGCGGUUGUUGUUGUGGCGGCAGGUGUGGGGAUUUGCACUGUCACUGAUGUGGAGGUCAAUGCCAAGGGGUUCAUUUGUGCUUGCGUGGCUGUGUUCUGCACAUCACUUCAACAGAUUGUGAGCUUCCUUUCUCUUUCUGGAUAUGAUUUAUGCAUCUACAUUCCUGCUUACCUCAAUGUUAAAUGCAACUUCUAGAUACUGUAACUGACAAUGUGCCCUCAGAUUUUCAUUAUGUCAUUAUGAAUUUUGUACUAGUUGAAAGUUCUCCGCGACCAAUGAUGAUAAGGUUUAGGUAUUAUUAUUAUAGCUGAUAAAGACUAACAUUAGAUGUUUUGGGGGAACAAACUGGAUAUUCAUCAUCUGAGGAUUGAAUGGUUCUGUACUCAUUGAUGACCUCAAUUUCUGGUGCCACUUCUGUUGUACUAGUAUGAUUGUGAGUUGUGGUAGCACCUGAACCUUGGUGUGGAUAUUCUAAAGAGGUUAAUGAGGCCCAUUAAAACUCUGCAGCAAAAAGAUCUCAAACACGGGUAAUGCUAAGGACACGCCCAAUGCUCCAAGGUGUACCAUAUCUUAAACAUGCCACAUAAGUAAAAAUCUGAUGUGGCACCCUAUUUAAUGAAUAAAGAGAGAGGUAUGGUAUCUUAAUCUAGAUACAACUCUUAGUGUUGAACCCAAGAGAAUUCAUAAUUGCUCUCUCACAAGACAUAAUAAAUGAUAGCAUAUUUAGAUACAACACUCAGAUAUAAAGCAUUGGAGAAGUUGUAUCUAAACAUGUAUUUAAUGGAUAAGAUACAAUAUAAGAUAUGAUGCAUUGGGAGUGCCCUAGUAGUGUGAUAUAUCCAUAAAAGCCAUUGUAAUCGAAACCAACAUUUUCAUUGUUUCCUUGUAGUAUGAUUCAUGAGUUGAGAAAUUGCAUCACACAUUGUGGAUUUGGAGUUCUCUUGAUAGAUAACUUGUCUGCAUUCUUUUGCCUUACAUUGUGGAGCUUCCUUGCUACUUAUGUCUCCUUUCAAAUAUCUACAGCUACUUUUGGACUAUUUAUAUUCCUUUUGCUACAUCUAGAUAUGAUAAUGUAUUGCAGGCACUCAUAAAUGAUGACUUAGAUACAAAAAUUGCUGCUUGGAAGUUUUGGAUGUUGAUUACAAAUCUUAGUAAUGCCUCAACAUUGUUGAUGAAAAAGUUCCAUUUAUUAACUGAACGCUAAUGAGGAUCCUUGUUUGCAAUUUUAUUUUGCAUUAUUAAUAUGCAUGCAAUUUAUUAAAUUAUAUUAUGUUCUGAGUACUGACACUAAUUGUUCUUGUUCCAGACAAUUGGCUCUUUUCAGAAGAAGUACAACAUUGGGUCAUUUGAGCUGCUGAGCAAGACUGCACCAAUACAGGCAGUGUCUCUUAUUAUACUGGGUCCCUUUGUGGAUUACUACCUCAAUGGGCGAUCGCUGUUAGAGUACAGUUUUUCAACAGGGGCAACUGUAAGUUCUCACUUCUGCUGCUCAACUUUCAGUUAAUGAAGCUAUGCUUUCUAUCUUACUACUUUGGAUUUGUGCCAAUCUUCCCUUGAGUAUUAAUAGAUGUGCUUCAUUUAUGAUAUUUACGAUUCCUCUAUUGGAGUGGAUAUCCAAUCAGCACCCCACUUAAUAACUUAGCAAUUGUCUUUCUUCCCAAUUCAAUUGAUUCUGAAAUGAACCGUGGCCACACUUGUUUUUUUAUUGUAUCUCGUAUGUUUUGUCUAACAUUCUUCCUGGAGAUUACUGCUUUGUUCUUUGCUUAAUUUAUGUUACUAGCUAAAUGUCCGUGUGGUUGCUACGGAUAAAUAAAUUAGAUUGCCCUAACAUUCUACGUCUGGUUUUCCUGUUUGGUGCUAUGCAUAAAAAAAUUAGAUUGCUCUAACAUGUCUAGGUCUUGUAAUCAUGCUUUGUGCCAUGUUUUUAGAAAUAUUUGCCAAAAUUUUGAGAUUGUUUCACAUGUAAGAAAAUGAAAAUGGUGGAAGGGCUGCUGCCAUCGUUGUACUCUUAUAAAGAUUGAGUUGGUGGUUGUCCGUUCUCUCCACCAAGAUUAAUCCUUAGAUUGUUGAAAAAAAUCACCAGUGUUGCCCACCCAUUAGAUGUGGUAUCACGAUUUUUUGAUUAUGGAUGAUUGGAUUAGUGUAUGCUGUGAGAUAAUGGUUACUUAUUUCCUUAUUCAAGAUUCUGUUCACUCCACCAGGACUACUCCUUCGAUUGUAAGAAAGUUACGUUAUUGCCCAUCCAUUAUGUGGCAGAUAAAACGUAUCACAUCUCUUGAUUAUAGGUGAUUGCAUUGGUAUUUAUUGGGAGAUACUUAUUUUGGGUGAUAUGAGCGCGCAGGCAUUUAAACAAUUCCUUUAUAUUUUCAAAAUGCCGUAGCAAUGCACGUGCAUUUUAAGCUAGGAGUGAAGAUAUGAGUCGUGCACAUGCUAAACUGUGGUUUGCUGUUAGCUACAACAGUAUUUCUAGCGUGCCGUUAUAAAUGCAGUUCUUCAUUCUGUUUUCCGUUUUACUCAUCACGUGGCUCUGGCUGGACGCAGUUUCUAUAUGUUCUAACAAUCUCCAUCCUUUUACAGUUCUUCAUACUGCUUUCAUGCUCCUUGGCUGUCUUCUGCAACAUGAGCCAGUACCUCUGCAUCGGCCGGUUCUCCGCAACUUCUUUCCAGGUCCUAGGCCACAUGAAAACCGUGUGCGUGCUGAUCCUCGGCUGGAUUCUGUUCGACUCGGCUCUCACCAUCAAGAACAUAUUGGGGAUGCUGCUCGCCAUCAUGGGCAUGGUAGUCUAUAGCUGGGCCAUGGAGUCCGAGAAGAAGGCCACCGCGCUGAUCCCGCGGAACAAGAGCGACAUGCUGGAUGGGGAGGAUGUGCCCCUGAAGUCCAGAACGAGCGGCCUUCCCGCCUCCGACCUUGACCUUGACCUGGAGGAAGGUGGCCCAACAAAGAGCUAGCCGGUCACCAUUAUUUAUUCCUUUCUUCUUGGUUCUUUUGUACGUGUUUAAUCUGCAUUGUCCGCGAGUCCUCGAAGCCAUCGACACUUGUGUUAAUUUUGCCCCUUGCUGGGGGUUAUCUCAUCAUAGGUGAUGAGGACGAUCCCCGGCCGGUCUCGACGUAGAUGACCGCUUAGAAAAUUCGUCAGGGCCAAUAUAGGCCGGAAGCCAUGUCAAUUCAUGAUGGCGUGUUGUUAUAGAUGACAAUACUUAUAAUGGAAUACAGAUGUUGCCCCGUUGUAGGAUCCGGUGGGUGCUUGGAAUUAUUAUUCUCCCCUAAGCGCUCGCUGUCCUCUUUUGCCGUAGGGAUCGUGGUUUCCCCGCACCAUGAGUGGCAUGGGUGUCGUGCGCUCUAUCGGAGCCGGGGUCGCCGUUGCCGGCCUCACAUGGGAUGCGAUGAUAUGGGUGGGAAGACGGUGGCAGCAACGUGGCUGUCGGCGACAACGAGCACGUGGACGGCGGUCGGCGACGCUGCCGCCGGCCCAACGAGGAAAGCCGGAACCAGUCAAUCAUCAGAAUAUACCCUUUCACCGUUUGCAAUUAGUUUCAGACUAUCAGUUUGUUUUGUCUGGAGUAUGUCAUCUGAUAUUUUAUUCACUGAUGAUGGGCUGAUGGCAUCAUCAGACUCCAAAGGGCAAUACUCCUCUCAGCAGGGAAUCAAUCAAAGCAAAAGAGAAACUGGAUCUUUGAAAAGGUCCCGGCGACAAACUCAGGAUCGUCUGAUCCCCGUAACGUUGGAUGCCCACAAUCCAGUUGUUGGACAGUACCAAAUGGCACGUCAAUAUUCGGGUGCCUUUCCGACGGAAAGCGGUCGCAGAGGAGAUUGGAUUGUGUUCCGGUUUCUGGACGUGGUCGUCUCGGGGCCUAGCAGUACCGGUGGAGACGCUUCUAUACAGCGAGGAGGAGUGCUGUGAAUCCCACUAUCACGUUUUUCCUCGGUGAAACAGUUUUUCAAGGUGCCAGCUCAGUUCUAUUUUUUCUGUCAAAAUAUACUCCCUCCGUCUAGACGUUUUUUAGUCAUAGAUACAUCCAUAUUUAGGUACAUUUGAAACACUUAAUAUGAGACGGAGGAAGUAUAUCUGAACCUCAAUUCUAUAAUAAGUGGUUUACCACGGGUCCUAAAUUCGGCUGAACUCGUCUGACUGAUGGGCGUGGCACAUUGAUUAUUUACUGCCAUGUCUGCAGUGUCACGAACAUUGGAUAACUCAUUGAAGAAAAAUUCACAAACAUCUUUGCUUCCUUCCUCUUUCUCUUUCGGCAUCCAUUUCCCCUCAUCUCCAGUUAUCCGGCGACUUGAAGGCAACUACAAGGUGACAACAACGGUGGGUAGCUCCGGAGAGGAGAGCUCGGGCGGCCGACGUUGACUAGUUGGCACGGGGUCUCCGUCAAGAUGGCCCCAGCACUAUGACGCCUUGAUGAUCCUCCUCCGCGGUACGAUAUGAGUUAAACCCUAACCCCAUCUUGUUGCCAUUUUGAUUAUUGUCAUUUCAAUAAAUUUCAUAGGGUCUCACAUCUUCAUUUUCUGAUUCAAAAGACCCCAGAUGGUACCUACUCUUCCAGCUCAUCGUAUGCAGCCAGUUCUAUGGUCCUAGCCCUAGUUCUUAGCCGAAAAGUGUGGAAUGCUCACGGCGAACCGAAUUGCAAAUUGUUCUACAUAACUGGAUCCUCAUGGUAUAGACCCGGUGUGAGAGGAUGCACUCAUGACACAAUCUGACGAUCUGCAUGGGCCCCAUAAGCUAACUCACAUCUCUUUAUGGACCGCCCUUGUCACCAAUAAGGUGUGUCGGCUUGUGCACUAUUGAGCCAACAAUUAUCCCCGACCGCGUCCAAUCAGGAUACCUUUGUGUUGUUGAAAUGUGACGGGCUCAAACCCAAGCGAAGUAGUAACCUCGUUUGCGCCAUGUGGAAUGUGUGGAAAGGGCUGAACUGUCACAUGGAGCUGAACCGUCACAUUUGCGCAUGAGAAAGACCUUCAAUAAUUUCUUCUUGUUGUUCUAGUUGACUUUAUUGUGUUCAUGUAAUGGACAACAGGGUAACCUGAUUAGAAGGUUACUUACAUUUUUUUAAGUUUAAAAUAGGAAGUGGAUGAAAACAUGUCAAGUAAUGGCAUUACUUGACGACUUGAAUAGAACCGCUGAACCGUUCAAAUAUAAUGAAACAAAAACAGUCACCAAAGAAGAAAUUGAUGGAAAAAAAGGCUAACAAAUACACACUCUCCUUCAUGACUAGUGUAUAACGAUCUUAUUUUUCCUCACGAACGCACAAGAAACUUUGCAUAUCUUUACAUUGGAGAGUGUAUCCCAAGUUCUCCUCAAGUUAGUAAGAAAUUAACACAUACGCGAUCCACCUUCAUUUCGCAGUAUGUGUUAAUUUCUCAUCAAAUUUCCUCUAUAUUUGUCCUACAUUAAGACCAUUCAAAAAAAUGGAAGUUCAUGAUAAGGUACAAAAGACAUCUUAGUCAUCGUUUGUCAUCUUUAGCAAUUGGUGCCUAGAAUUCGAAAGAAGGAAAUCAUUAGCAUUCAAUGGGGGAGAUUGAGGGGAAAUUAAUUAGAGGGAAGAGACACGCUCUCGUGCUCGUGCGGUGUUGUAUGAUUGUAUCACGUUGUCCUAUAAAGUAUCCCACGUUUUGCAGUUCUCACCGUCCGUCACCCGGUGCCAAAGUUUCCCCUCUUCGCUUCAAGUUCUAGAUAAGAGACGCUGAGACGGUCGCAACCCCCCCCACCCCCCCCACCCCCACCCCACCCACACCCGGUGGUGCCAUCCCAUCUCCAUACUCCUCUCCGCGUCCCCCCACUAAAACUCCCACCCCCUUAACCCCCAAGCCAUGGCGGCCUUCCACCCCCUUGUCGCCUCGCGCGUCCACCUCUCCCCGCUCCUCCCCGCCGCCGCUGGCCCCGCGGCGGCGGUUGCGGCCGGGCUGUCCUUCCACCGGCGCCGCUUCUCUGCCAUCGUCGCCGCGGCGACCGCCCCCACGGCGACGGAGUUCGACUUCAAGGCGUACAUGGGGGAGCGGGCGGUGGCCGUGAACCAAGCGCUGGACGCGGCCAUCCCGGCCGGCGAGCCCCCCGCCGCGCUCCACGACGCGAUGCGGUACGCGCUGCUGGCUGGGGGCAAGCGCGUGCGCCCGGCCCUGUGCCUGGCCUCCUGCGUCGUGGUCGGUGGGCGCGAGGCCUGGGCGAUGGCCCCCGCCGCCGCGGUGGAGAUGGUGCACACCAUGUCGCUCGUCCACGACGACCUCCCCUGCAUGGACGACGACGACCUCCGCCGUGGCAAGCCCACCUGCCAUGUCGUGUACGGCGAGCCCAUCGCCGUGCUCGCGGGUGACGCCCUGCUCUCGCUCUCCUUCGGGCAUAUGGCCAGCAUGGACUCCUACCCUCCCGACGUCGACCCCGAGAAGCACCCUGCUCGCGUCGUCCGAGGCAUUGGGGAGCUCGCGCGAUGCAUCGGAUCAGAGGGCCUCGUCGCCGGCCAGGUCAUCAGAUUCUAUUCGAUUUCGUCAUAUAUAAAGUGCACAAUACAGAAUGUGCUAAUUUUGUGAAUCGUAUGCCUUCCUAAGAAGGGAAAUUUGCAUAGGUAUCUGUAUACAGUUGCAUUAGAAACUGAAAUUAUCCAUAACAAAGACCGUGCUGUAAAAGUUUGUAUGAUGUUUCUGGAAACUGACUCUCUACUUUUGGUCAGGUUGUUGAUCUUGAGAUGACUGGCUCAACUGAGACUGUACCCCUUGACCGCCUUGAGUACAUUCAUCUCCACAAGACUGCUGCAUUGCUUGAGGCGUCUGUGGUUAUUGGUGCAAUCAUAGGGGGUGGGUCGGAUGAGCAGAUUGAGCGGUUGCGAAAGUAUGCUAGAUCAAUAGGGUUGCUGUUCCAGGUGGUUGAUGACAUACUUGAUGUCACCAAGUCAUCAGAAGAACUAGGGAAGACAGCAGGGAAGGACUUGGCAAGCGACAAGACAACAUACCCAAAGUUAUUAGGGUUGGAGAAAUCAAGGGAGUUUGCAGAGAAGUUGCUUUGUGAUGCAAAGGAGCAACUUGCAGAUUUUGACAAAGAGAAGGCGGCACCGCUGUUGUACUUGGCCAAUUAUAUUGCCUAUCGGCAGAACUGAGGUGAUGGUGACUCUGUUGUUCAUUGUUGAUUUGUAACUUUGUAAGAUCGCGAAGUUUGGGAUUUCAGGAAUAUCCAGAGUUCUUCGUCUGAUAUAUACUAGCUGUAGUUUUCUACCUUGUUGUCAUGAGAAUAGUUAGUUGACAAAUGUCAUAUUGGGAUAUUUUGUUGACAGAUAUCAAUGUCCCAUUUAGAUAUUCAAAACAUUAUAAUGGUAAUCAGCCUUUAUGCCUAUAGUUUCUGGAUGAUAACCGAUCGGUUGAUUUCUAAAGAGUAACAUUUUGUUUGUUUUCUUUUUAUGACAAUUGCAUGCAUUGCAUUGUUGCUAUGCUCCUUGCACUCCUGUAGGCUAAAUGUUCGGCAACAAAGAGCAUGUUCAAAUAAUUUUUUCUCUCUAUUUUUGGUGAAUUGAAAUUAUAUUUGUUAUUUGAACAUGUCUGAAUGGUUUAGUGAAACCAGUUUUAUUCUUUACCACCAAUGCAUAUGGAAGAUCCUGUUGACUUACAACUGUACGGAGCCCUCCGACUGUGUACCAUGCUUGUUGCAGAAUUUGUAACCAACUUUUAGGCCAGUAGUGGCACACAGCUGCAGGUGUUCAACACAUGCACGACGCUUAGCGUGCAAUAAAAUAAAAGACACAUGCUAGCUGCCAUUACUUAUUUUUUAAUCACUGAUUUUUCUUUGCGAAUGAAAACAAGCUAGGAGAAGAAUGUUUUGUAUUCUGUGGUUAUAUCAGGUCCCUUUACCUUUCAUGGGACUGUAAGUUUUCUUGACUGAAAGAGUGAGCUAGUCUCUACUCUAGAUUUCUGUGUUGAAACAAUGUUAAUCAUUUCAUUUAAAUUGAUCAAUGUUUCCAAUUACAUAAGCUUUUCCAUGCCUGGGAUAUCGGUAUGUAAUCGUUAUCUUGCCUGCUUGCCACGUCUUGACAUAAUUGUCAUUCGGUUUUAUUAGGUUGAUAGAAGAAUCCAAGCAAAGAUAGUAUGUGUCUUAACACCUCUGUUUACGGAAAAAAACAGGGAUGGAAUAUCAGAUGCAUGCAUCUGGUUCUUGUAUCUGAUAAAAUUAGGCUAUGACGUAUUUAAGUAUUUCUGCUAUAUUGUUGUAUUGAUGAAGAUUAAAUAUAGAGCAUGCUUUACCUGUUCGUAUAUGUACAUUGCUGGGGCUGGAUAAGCAUGCUAAUUAGUUGCUUGAUGGUGACCGAUGACCUUUCAUGUGAAUGUAUAAGACUUCUCGUGUGGCCAUGCGUAUGAAUUCUGCCUUUUUUUAUUGAUUACCAUAGUUUUCUGCUCAUGUCUAUUUCCCCAAUAUAAUCGUGUACAACUGUUCUGUUCUUAUGUCCUUACAUGAGAUGACUUUAUUGACUGAAAGAGUGGAUUUCAAUGGAAGAUCUGUUUAUGAAAUAUUCAUUUCGUUAGGGAAGUGGAGCAAAGGUUUUGAACUGCCUGAUGCAAAAUGCUUGUUGCUGCAGCAUUACUCUCACAUGACAUUUCAUAGUUCAUACUGCUGCUUGAAUCCAAGGGCAUUUACCAGGCAACUGAAAUUUGAUCUGGUAGUAGCAAUAGCCGUUGACAUUGAACAGCAACACCUGCAUAAGGCCUCCGGUACAGAUGCCAACAGGACCUUGAGCAAGUGUUCUGUCGCCAUGAAGCUGGCAAGCUGCAGGCGAAUCACAGGUUCUUUCUUCGAUUUUUCCAUUUUGGCUCCUGUUAGUUUGCUAUUCAAGAUUGGCGCCCAGAUUUCUUACUGUUCUUGUCUCUCUUGUCUUGAUCUCAUCCUUUUCAUUUGGAGGUUUUUGUUCGAUUCAGAUUUCAGAAGCACCAGCGGGAGCGGGGUACCCGCUGUACGUUCCCUGUCCUGUGCACGCUGGUUGAUUCUGUGGCCAACUUGUUCAGUGGACUCCGUACAUAGAUUCAGACUGUUGGAACUGAACACGAGCCUGUCAUAUUUUUCACACGAUUUUGUUCGAUUCAGAAGCACCAGUGGGGCACACGCUGUAUGUUCCCUGUCCCAGGACGCCUGUGCACGCCGGUUGGUUGUGCGGUCAACUUGUCUGUAAACUCCGUACACAGUUUCAGAUUGUUGGAACUGAACAGCAUAGGUGAGCGUUUCAUAUUUCUGCACGGUUUUGUUCCAUCUCUUUUAACACCGACAAUCCUAAGAAAAAACAAACCGACAACCAUUUUUUUUAGGGGACAAUCCAACCGUGUGAGAAAAAAAGACGAAUCGCGAGCUAGGCAAGUCCAGCAGUUCCCCUAAAAUGUAUGCCCUAUAUCUCAAAAUAGGGGACUCUCUUAAACAUUUUCUCCCCUAAAAAUUGUUCGACUCCAACAGUUCCCCUAAAAGAUCUCCCCUAUUCUAUUUGAAACCUAACGGUUACCUCUCCAACGGCUAAUUUUUAAACGGCCGGAUUUCUAACGGCUAGUUUUUGAAUGGCUGGAUUUCUAACGGCUAGUUUUUUUUAAUCUAUAUAUACAGAUCAGCUCGCUCUCAUAUCUCUCACACUCUUGCUUCUGCCUCCUCUUUUACUUCGCUUUCACCAUAUCUCUUGCAUCUUUCCACAACAAAAUGAGUCGCCGCCGAAGCUUGGCACGUCAAUUUUGCGAAGAUUCCUCGUCUGAUGAUGAGGAUCUCAUGAUGGUUGCAGUCAUAGCCGAGGAAGAAUAGGCGGGGUUGGAUGCUCCGCGCCAUCGAGGUUCACUUUCAGGACGACGUUCUCUUCAACGCGAAUUUGCGGAACGCUUUCAGUGUCUCCACAAAGACUAUUUUGCUGUGAAUUGUACCUUCAACACAAGGAUGUUUCGCAAUAGGUAUGUAACCGGUGCAAUUUUGUUUAUUUUCCGUCAUACUAGUCGCCCUUCAUGUCUAAUUUAAGUUUUUCGUACCAGGUAUAGAAUGCACCGUCCUCUUUUUCUCACAAUAGCAAGAGCUCUAGAGGAACAUGAUAGCUAUUUUUCCUUGAGAAGAAAUUGUGCCGGUACUCCUGAUUUACAUCCUUAUCAAAAGUUGACCUCCGCAUUUAGAAUCCUAGCUUAUGGGAUAUCAGCUGAUGGUACUGAUGAGUAUUGUCGGCUAGCAAAGUCUACUGCUUUAGAUAACCUUAGAUCAUUUGUGCGUGCUGUGAUCGAGGUCUUUGGUGGUCGCUACCUGAGAUCUCCAAAUGCUGAAGAUACUGCUAGCUUACUUGCAAUUGGAGAGCAAAGGGGAUUCCCCGGUAUGCUCGGAAGCAUCGACUGCAUGCAUUGGCCGUGGAAACAUUGUCCUAGUGCACACAAAGGUUUUUUUGUUGGCCAUAAUCGUGUACCCACAAUCAUUCUUGAAGCCGUUUGCUUCACAAGACCUUUGGGUCUGGCAUUCGUUCUUUGGUUUACCAGGAUCCCAUAAUGAUAUAAACGUUCUUCACCGUUCACCUGUGUUUGCGAAUCUAGCUAAAGGGCAUGCUCCAGAAGUGAAUUAUACCAUCAAUGGUCACAACUACAACAUGGGGUAUUACCUUGCAGAUGGCAUAUAUCCGCGAUGGGCCACAUUCGUGAAGACAAUUCCAAAUCCGACAACUGAAAAAAAUAAACAUUUUGCACGAUGCCAAGAAGCUUGUCGGGAGGAUGUUGAACGAGCCUUUGGAGUUCUGCAAGCUCGUUUUGCCAUUGUACGUGGACUAGCAAGGUAUUGGGAUUUGGAAACACUCGGAGAAAUCAUGACAGCUUGUAUCAUCCUGUAUAACAUGAUAAUAGAAGAUGAGCGUGAAAGUCAUGUAGACUACCGAUCUCAGAACAUGGGAGAACUGGUGAUACCUUCUCGUGAAGAGGCAGCUACGUUGACUCAGUUUCUUCAAGCUCACAACGCUAUUCGAAACAAAGAAGUUCAUUGUCAGCGUCAAGUUGAUCUAGUUGAGCACUUGUGGCAGAUCCGUGGAAUGAUGUAGUUUUAAUAAGUGGUAGCAAUAAUGUAGUGUAUGAGAUUUCUAAUAUGUUUUUAAAUCACGGUGGGGUGUAAACGGUGACUGUAUCAUUUUCUACAUAAUGCAAUGUUACUCUCGUAAUGCACAUCUAGCAAAAUUGCAACAAUUUCAUCUAUUUCUUCCCUUCUUCUAUUUCUCAUCUCUUUCUCCCUCUCCACCUAUUUCUUAUCUCUUUCUCCUCUCCCUCUCUGCUUUCCUCUCCUUUCUUCUCCACAGAACACCCCGCCCGCGGCCUGCGCCUCUUCCUCUCCCUCUUCCCCACCGAGCAGACCACCUUGUUGGCCGCCGCAUCUGGCCGCCGGGCCCCCUGAUGGCCGGCUGGCCGCCCCCGCCCUCUGCUGGCCGCCGCAUCUGGCCGGCGCCACCCCUUGCGUGCUGGCCGCCGCCUCCCGCAUCUGGCCGCUGCCGCCCCCCUUCGCGUGCUAGCCGCCGCGCCCGCCUCUGGUUGCCGCCCCUCGCGUCUGGCUCCGGCCGGCUCAUGGCGGGAGAAAGGAGAAGGAGGGUGCCAGGCUCGUUUUGGCGGGAGGGAUUGUCCCGGGCGUGGAUAGGGGAGGCCUCCGCCUCCCCGAUCUGUAGGGGAGAAGAACUGACGGAUCGGGGACGCCGAUUUUUCGGGGGCUCGAUAGGGGAACUGCUGGAGACACGUUUUUGCGUUUUCUCCCCUAAAAACGUUAUCGGGGAGGUUAUUGGGAGCUGCUGGACUUGCUCUUAGUCUACAAUUGGUAGUAAGUACAGAGUCAGCUUUCACCAUGUAGAUAGAAGGAGGGAGGGGUGGCUUCCCUCCUUUUAAAGAAAAAGAAAACCAUCACGGAAAUUAUGGAAACACUUUUAUAUGUAAUUAAUAUUUGUGAAAAAAAAUAUGAAUCUACACAAGAUUUCAAUACAAUGAACCCACAUGAUUUCGUUUCUGGAUCCACCAUCCGCAGAGCUAAAGCCAGAAGGCCUGAAAUAGUGAAGGUAGGGGUUCGAGUCAGGGUGUGCAAAACCGAACCGUAACCAAAAACAGAUCCAAAAAAAACAGAACCAACAGAAAAUUCGGUUUUUCGGUUUUUGGUUCUGGUUUCGGUUAGCCAAAUAGCUAAUUGUUGGCUCUUCGGUUAAUUCGGUUUAAAACAUAAAUUAAAUCGGUUAACCGAACAUAACCGAAAACAUUUCGUUUGUGUUGUGUUUCAGUACCGGUGGACGUCUCGAAUUAUUAAUUAAAAUAGAGACACUAUACUCAGUUGCACCGAUCUCAGAUGCACCGUGCUUCCUUUUAAAGACAUCCAUUCGUUGCCCCUCCUUAUCUCCCACCAAUGUGGGACUAAACAUUCUUGCCUACAUGUGUACCACGACUGCGAGACCACGAUCGCGAGCGCAUGGGCUAACUGAUUGCUAGCACAAAUAUUCAGGCCGAGAGACGAUGGCCCAAUUCAAUUGCUCUCAUGAGAGUCCCCUAAACAAAAUUGCUCCCACGAGAGGGGCCCAUGCGGGCACACGUCCUGUGUCAUGGAUCAAAUGUGACGAGGCGGGGCAAGCCCCUAUUUGUGAAAAUCGGACUGGUGAGGCUCUCGUUUAAGGUUUUUACUAUUAAAACCGCAGGUUCACACCAUCUGUUUUUUUAACAUAUAAAAUAAUAUAUUUUUGGUCAUAAAUGCUGCAACAAAGAUAAAAAUGUAAUGCGAUGUAAAAUGUGCGUCUUGUUUCUUCUUCUUUUUAUGGCAUCUUUCAUGUUUACACAAGGUGCCGGAAAGCCCAGCCCAACUGGCAGCACCAUCCAGUUGAAAUAAAGGUCCAAGAACAGGCCUGAUGGUGUGUAGUCUUUUCCGUAAUAUUAUGCAAGAGAUGGUGACCCAGGUGCAGCCUCGUCGGGUAUGCGCUUUGACGCAAAAUAUUUUGGUGCUGGUCUGCGUUUUUCCUUUUUCAGCCAAAUUGCUACCACGGAGUAAAUUCUUGCUUGAUUGCUAAGAUUAGUUGUACUCCCUCCGUUUUUAAAUACUUGUCGUUGUUUUAGUGCAAACUUACACUAAAACAACGACAAGUCAAGUAUUUAGGAACGGAGGGAGUAGUACGUACGUAUUCAAUAUGAUUGAUUGCUACAAGAGUCGAUGCAUCUUGUUUUUUCAGUGUCUUUCACAGGUAUACUGUAAUAGAGUUGGUGCACUUCGCUUCGGUAGUUUACUUGGAACAAAUUAGAACAUGUGCACAAAAAUGUGUGUUGCUUGAAAAUUCGUGUCAACUUUGGUUAUUUUUGUUAUAACCGAAAUUUAACCGACCCAUAUUUUCACUAUUUUUAUAUGAAACAGUGUUAACUGAAAUAUAUAAACCGAACUAACCGAGAAACCAUAUAAACCGAAACACACCCUGAGGUUCUAGACUGGCACAGUGGCACUGCUUGCUGUGCUGUAAUCCCGCCGUGGACUUCACGCACGACCGACCGACCACGCUAUCCCCAACAAGCUUUGUUCGUGUUGUUGGCACAGCUGCGACUCCGCCCUGGCCCUCGGCGGCAUCGGGCAGCGCACAAGGUUCACUGGUUCACGCUGAUCCGCUGCGGAUGUAUAGGCCAUCCUAGCCCAUGUUAAACCAAAAGCCAUGACCGCACUCCUCUGUUUUUCCCUUCUCUGGGUCUAUUUUUCGGGUCUCAAGCCUUCGUCCUCUCCUAUAGUCCUAUGAUCCAGCCAGGUUAGCCAAGCAGGAUGAUACUAUUACUCAACCUUUUCUUGUUUGUCUAUUUUAUAGUUCGACUAACUAAUUUUUUUCAUAAGUUUUUUCACUAGUUUCAUAUGAAACAGUCAAAGAAGUUCAACAUAGCACCGUUCAUCAACCAUAUAUUUAGCCUAAACUAGCCCUGCUGUUCUGAUAUGCAUGAUCGAUCUUGAGCAUAGAUUUUCCGAAUUGUAAUUGGGAUCAUCACUAUCUACUCCGGAAUGCAUUUACAUUUGAAAACAACCUGCAGUAACAUGAUAUCCAGGUCUCUUUUGUCAACAACGUAAACGUGGAUAUGGCUGGGAGAUGAGAUGAAGGAUGCAUUGAUUUACUCAGAAAUGUUCACAGGUACUUGCAUUGCUUCACAACAGACAGAUCAAGCCACUUCAUUCAACACCCUGAAAUCAUACUUUAGACGCACACAAAUGUCUUCACGAUAACUCCCAAGCAAAACCAUCGGAUGCCGGUUACACAAGAUAACCAUCGGAUGCAUAAUUUAUUAUCACACCACAAGCACGUGAUUCAGAUACGUGCUUCAGCUAGCAAGGAAAAACAGUACUAAUAAGUCUAUGCCUUCCUGCAAACGUCUCCCUCGCAUACGUACCCAGCUGGGGCAGCCUCAGCAUCAUGCCCCUUCUCCUCCUCGCCCUUCUUUUUCUCACCCAGCGCGCACGAAGUGUGCAGAUCAAAAUCGCAUUCCGCACAGUAGUAGGACCAAGAAUUGCCCAUUUCAUCACAACCGUCACAGCCAAAUGGCCUGCGGUGGCGUGUCAGAACGAGCUCAUGCUCCUCAUGCAGCUCAUGCUUCAGCUUCUCAGGCCACCCUUUUGCCAUCUCAUCGAUAUUCUUCUCCAGCUCCUGGAUCUUCUCCUCAGUGAAUGGAAAUGCGUCGGCACCAUGGACUGCAAGUGGGGCUUUCGCAUCUGUGUUGACCGUCUUCCCACUGGGACCGAUGGCAACAAGAGAAGGGAUCCCACGGAUUUUGAACAUCUUCUUUAAGUACGCCUUCCUUUCAUCUUCCAAGGGAAGGGCAAGCCAUGGCAUGCCAGAGAAGAAGUCAUCGAAGGAGCUCUGGUCCCUGUCGCUAGAGAUGAAGACAAUCUCAAAGUCACUAUUCUUUUCCUUGAUCUUGUUGUAUACAUCGACAAGUGUAGGCAGGAAGGCUCGGCAUGGUCCACACCAUUGAGCUGAAAAGUAAAGGAGGACAGUCUUCCCAACAAGUUGUGACACAGGAACCUGGCACAGUACAUCACAAAGUAGAUUUUAGUCUUAUACUCAUCACACACCUAGACAAGUACAACACAUCAAUUUUUUUGUAAGACAAUCUCAACCAAGCAUUUAGUAUAACUGUAACAGGAGGUGAAACUAUCAUAAGCUAAUUGUCAGUGAAUUAGAAACAGCAGUUUACUACACACACUAAGAACACACUCAAUUGGUCAAUCCAAGCACGGCCUUAGUCUACCUUAUAAAUUGCUCUAUGAAUACCAUCAGUUGGGAACAGCCGAACAGGAGUUUCAGACCUAAUUUUCCUUUGUUCCUGGGUCCUAGCAGUAGAAUUCGGCCAUUCUACUUCAUGCAUAUAAUAGUUCCUAUACUAGCCCUUCAAACUUGUAUUUUUUAACAGCUCACAAAUGGCCAUACUUCUACAUAAUUUGUGUCAAGUGGGUGUGUGUGUGCCAUAGCAUGUGCUACAUCUGAGUAUUUUUUUUCAUUUUUUUGGAAAAUACCGAGACAAGUAGCCAGAAGUGCAAAAUAAUUUGGAAGGAGAAUCUCAACCAAAUUUCUGUCAGUACCUUAAGUUGGAACAGAUGAACAGAAAGUUUGACCUCAUUUUUCUUCUUUCAAGGGCUCUAGCAGUAUAUUGUGUCCAUUCUAUGGUGUACAUAUAGUUGCCAUACUAAAGUCCUUCCAAUUUAUCUUUUUUGUACAGCUCAUAAAUGGUCAUUUUAAAUAAAUAUGGUACGAUUAAAGUGUGCUUGUUAUACCAUGUGCUACAUCUAGCUAUUUCCAAUUUGGAAAGGUUGAGAUGACCAAACUAGAAUAGGCUGAGAGCGCAACUAUUGCAGAAGAACCUUCAUUCAAUUUUUACAAGCUCGUAACAUACUGAAGAUCCCCGGGCAAAUACGCAGGUGAAGAAUUUUUAAUCACAAAAAUAAAAACGGGAUAUUUCUAUUCUUCACAACAGGGCAUGAAUGUCAACAUCUUUACUUCAGUGCUAUAAUCUGAGGUAACACCCAUAAUUUGCCACAUGUUACUUCAAACAGAACUUAGCUUUGACCAAUUAUCUAAACAAGAUUUGAGUCAACAAAAUCAAGCAUACGUAAGACAUACCUUUGCUCCAUCUUUCCCGAUGACAAAGUCUAAAUCACCAGUGACCAGAAGGGACUGCAAAGUCUGUGACUCUGCUUUAGCCCUUGCCUUCUCAGCAAGAAUUUCCAGCUUCUCUGCAUUGAAGGGGAACCCCUCCCAUGACUCCACACCAUUCUCUUCAAUUAUGUCCGCAAUAUUGCUAUUCAGUGUCUUUCCAUCAGGACCAAUCAGCACAAGUGUAGGAAGAUCAUUAAGCUCAAAGUAACUGACCAGCUUCUGACACAUCUUGUCACCCUGAGGAAUGGCGAGCCAAGGCAUGUUUUGAAAACUCUCAUUGAACGAUGCCUCAUCGUUGUCCAUGGAUACAGCUACAACUUCAAACUUUUUCCCCACUUCUUUGAGUUUCCCAUAUAUCUUGGCAAGCACUGUGGUAAAUUCCUCAACUGGACCAUAACCACUCACCACAAAGCACAAACCAACAUAUUUCCCCUCAAGAUCAGAGAUGGGUACCUGGGCACAAGUAACACAAACAGAACAGAUAAGAACAUAUGCAUCAGUAAAAUCAGGAAUACACACUAAAGAAAUGUGGACAAUAAGUUACCUUGUCCCCCUUGUUUGAAAUUAAGUAGUCACGAGUCGGUGCACUAAGCACACUAUGAAUAGUUUGAUUAUCCUUAGCUGCCUUUUCUUGUUCCUUCAAUUCAUUGAUCCUCUCAGGUGUAAAAGGAUAAGCAUCUAUUCCAUACUCACUCACAAACUCGACUCCAUCUUCAGUACAAACUUUACCAGUUUUUGCAUCAAGGAUGACAAGGUGUGGAAUACCGCGGACCUGAAACCGCUCAUCAAGGCUUUUACGACCUUCAGAGUCAGUGAAGGGGACUGCCAACCACGGCAUCUUAGCAAAGUAGGCAUUGAAUGCUUCCUCAUCCUGAUCACCUGAAACAAAGACCACCUCAAAGCUCUUGCCCUGUGAGGCAAGCUCUUUGUAUGCCUCUAUAAGCUUCGGUGUGAACCGCCUGCAUGGCGGGCACCAUGAGGCCGAGAAGUAGAGGGCCACAGUGCCUGCCUCAAUGCUGCUGAUCUUCACCUGAAGGAAGACAAAAGGGAACAGUCACAGAGCAGUUCAGGUUGAGCUACUACAUUCUGACCUGUAAGAACAUGUUGGCUUGGCUACGCUUAUUUUCAUUCACAUCAUUUAAUUGCCUCUUAUAUUGCUUUUGUUUACAGAAAUUUACAUAUUCCGAUGCACAAUAUCUUCGCAUGCCCCAACCUGAUAAAAGGUAACCAUUUUUGGUCCACCUAAUAUGUGAUAUAUAUCUGGUCACAGUACCAAACCUUGACCAGUUUCCAUCACCUUUGGAUGAAUUUACUAUACUUUCCCAUCAAAUCUUUUCAUAAUGACAGAUCAUAACUACAGCCUGCCCUUAUUUUCCAAUACUAAUGUUAUGGUACAGAUAUUGCUAACUAUCAUGCACGAGACAAGAUUGAGCUAUCCUAUUCCCAGAAAAACAUUUCCUUAUAUAUUAAAUUUCUAUCCAUAAAAAGAGAAACACGAUGUUACUUUUACACAAGCAUUGCAGCUAUUUCAAGUUAGUACAAGCAAAUCACAUACCACUUAUAUCAGCAUAGAUGAAAUCUGAUAAUCGAUUGACGGUGAUCAAGCCCAACGGUUAGCUCUACUUUAUAUUCUAUAAAAUUCAUUGAAAAAGAAAAGCCCUCACAUCUUUCUUUCUUUUCCGAAACAUGAAAGAGGAAAACCCCUAUCAAGCACAAGACAAGAUUGAACUAUCCUAUUCCCAGAAAAACAUGUCCUUAUACAUUAAAUUUCUAUCCAUAAAAGAAAAACACGAUAUUACUGUUACACAAACAUUGCAGCUAUUUCAAGGUACGAGCAAGCAAAUCACAAAUCACAUACCACUGAUAUCAGCAUAGAUGAAAUCUGAUAAUCGAUUGACAGUGAUCAAGCCCAAUUGUUCGCUCUACUUUAUAUUCUAGUAUAAAAUUCUUUGAAAAAGAAAAGCCCUCACAUAUUUCUCUCUUUUUUCCGAAACAUGAAAGCGGAAAGCCCCUCUCGUCUUAUUUGCACCUUGCUGUUGAUAACACAGCUCGAAUUACAAGUCCACAAAUUUUUUUAAAAAAACUAGGGAGAUGCAAGAUAUCUGCACAAAGAGUGGCCAGCAUCGAGCAAAAUAGAAGGGUCUAAUCGCUAAAUCGCAGAAGCAUACAAGCAUAUAGGGCCGGAAAAGAGGGGAGAAAGGAGCAGACCUGCUCGCCGGAGUUGCGGACGAGGUAGUCCCUCUCACCGGCAGUGAGGAUGGCCCCGACGCCGCCGUCUGUGGUGGAUGCCGCUGCCAUCCGGCGCCUUCGGUCUUGGAUGGAGGGUAGUGGACUACAAGCGGAGGAACGGAGACGGAGCGGCUCGAGGUCGUGGUGAUUGUCCCGUUUGGUUUGGAAGGGAAAUUCGGUGUCCAAUUGGUGUUAACGGUGGGUUUAUAGAGCAAACUACGGGUGGUGGACUCACGGUCUUCGUUGGUUCCGUUUGCUUGGGGCCAGAUACAGAUGCUUUCUUAGCAUGGAAGAUUUGCGCAAAAGCACACAGUUUCUUCCUCCAAUGUUUUGUUUUUUCUCGAAGAUAUCCAAUAUUUUGCAGAUCCGUUAAAAAAAGGGGACGGGUUUUCCACAGUUAACUGACCAUAAGCGCCGCAGUUCCUUUGUAACCAAGGAUCCUACAAUAGAAGAGCACGCCAGAGCUUCACAAUGAGAUGUGUUUUUUUUAGCGUUUCAAACUUUCAAACUAUAAUAUGCUUUUUUAUUGAGCGCUCAAAUUAUCCUAGUUGCAUCGCACAAGCACGGCCAUGGUCACAGUCACCAUAUCCAAAAUCUACUCACUCCGUCAGCAGCAUCUUUGUCAACAUUGUUCAUCUUUAGCUUUACUAUUCCUUAAGUCUUAGUUUGUACGUCCCUGGUUAACACACCUUUUCGAACGUCAUCUGCUUUUCAUCCCGCGUCUAGAAAAACCGUCCGUCAGGCGAGUAAGCAAGGUAAGUUUCUCAAAUUAAGAUCAUAGCAAGUUAAGUUUCACAAAUUAAGGAAAUCAUGCGUAAUCUAUAUUUGAGAAAAUUAUGCCCAUAUGCAAGGUAAGUUUCACAAAUUAAGGUAAGUUCCGCGGUUUGUCAAUUAGGUUUUGAAAAGAAAAAAUUCGAUCGGUCAAUGGACAUGCAUAAUAUAUAUUUGAGACGUGAACCAUUGUAAUAUUUGUGUCUCCGUUGCAACGCACGGGUACUUAGCUAGUUGUUGUUGUAUUGGUGUGAGUCGUGACUUUGAGCGCUUGAUGGUACACUUUGCUUACGUGAACAGGAAACAUUGGGUAAAGUAUUUUGCUUCCGUGUUUAUAUGAUGGAAAUAAAAUUAUGUCAUCUCCCUAUUAUUAAUUAUCCAAUAAUAUUUGUCCAUAUCCCGUCCAACUUCGCUCCGCUUCCAACCCGAAUCUGUAGUCCACAUUCGAAUCGGCUGCACAAAAGAAUAUGAUAAAAGAUAUGGAAAGAGGAUUAUCUGACCCGUUUACAUCCCUAGUCAAGUCAAUGCAAUAAAUCUAGCGGUACGAAGAUGUAAAAUUGAUCGAAACCUAAUAAAUCCAAAGGUGAAAACCGUUCACAAACUUAAGUGCAUGAUUCAAAAGUUAACAUAGUUUGGAUUUCCGAUCUAGAGAAAAAGAAGCAACAAACACACCUUGCAGCCUCCUCUCGGAGGUGCCAUACGCAUCCCGCGCGUGCCUACUUUGCCUCUCACCCAGCCCCCCCCCCCCCCCCUAAGGGCCCGUUUGGUUUCUUGAUUCCCCGUCGGUAUUGAAAGGGAUUGACGGGGAUUAAAGCGAAAUUGAACUAUAAUCCUAGCAUUUCCCCUCGAUCCCCACCAGGCUGGUAUCCCAGCAUUCCCCCUCGAUCCCCAUCGGGCUGGUAGUAAACGAACUAGCCCUAAUUGUUCCUACAAUGUGUACAUGUAUAUCCCCAGAGCACCAUCUAAGGGUGUGAUUACAAGGUAUGUACAUGGCACCCCAACCAUCGAGUACAUAAAUGGACACCGGGAAUUCACCAUGAGGGUACUAGAGUACUAGAACAUUACCUUAACUCGACGGGCCUCUCCUAGUUAACUUGGUGAAACUUCUAGAUACAUGUAAUAUUUACAAGAAUUAUGAAACGGAAGGAAUACUCUUCUACCAAAGAAGUCGCUUGACUCUUGCCUCAACGAUAAUAAUUGAGGAUUGCUUAAAACAUGGGACAGGCUAGUUAGGAUGGCGUUCUGGCAUGAUUGAUAACAAAACUAUAGGCAUUUCGGUUGGCAUGAUUGAUAACAAAACUAUAGGCAUUUCGGUGGGAAGAGCCAAGUCCACAUCAACUUUUGAAAGUACCAGUACAAAUUAUUGCUCGAGCUCCGAACAAUCAACCGCAGACCCAUUUAUUUCCAACUGUACAAGUAGUACUUCUAAUCGACGGCUCUGGACGAUGCUUGCUUUCGGUUGGUCCUGUGAUGUCAUCCACAUUACAUCACAACCCAUGCUUUUGCUUGAGUCACGCCAACAUUCCACGUUACCCAUCCUGCCUUCAAUUGUGGACGCGGGUCGUCUGACUUAACGUCACUGACUUGGCACUUGGCAGGCGUUCAGAGUCACGCGUGACCCAAAUGACUAAUCGAAUCAACUUCACACUCGAGAAUAGCGUCUAACAACAAGCAGCAGAAUCACGCGACAGUGUCUAAUUAACAACUCAAACUGACUAACAAGUAAACAGUUUUCCAUUUACGUCUAUCCUCACAACACUUAUUUCGACAAAACCAGAUACUUACAUACAGUACAUCGCAGAGAAUCUUAACGCGACAUUAACAAAGUGAUAGCGGAAAUGUUAGAACAAAAGAUAUCCAAUGCAACCUGCAAAGACAUGUCCAUGCGCCUGUUCAUUUCUGGAAAACCUUGUUCAGGACACCCUGUAUGGAGCCACACAUGCCUGCUCCCAUGGCUUCAGCUAGAUACGUAACCUGCACAGAGGAUAAUGGCAGAUCACCAAGUUAAUAAUACAACAGAGACGAUGACAAAAAGAUCUAGACCAGCAUAUGCAAUAUGAUUUUGAGUGUGUGUGAUUUGCUACCUCCUUAAAAGAUUUCCCAAGAUCAAGAGCAUCUUUGAUGCGGCGACUGACAAAUGUCCAUGUGUCACCAAACUCUGCCAAGUGUCAACAAAAUGGGAAAUGAUCAACAAGUCUGCUCAAACAGUUGUGCAAAGAAAGUGUGAAAUGUAUUCCCUUCAAAAUGUUACCUACUAGUUAGUAGUUAGUACGUCUGAGACAAACAUAGAUUUUAUAGCCGAGGAUUUUGAAACAGGUCGCAGCUUGGCCCCAAACCGGAAAUCAGAAGACGUGCUGCAGCUUCUUCUGCUCCGGCAUGCCCAUCCUACUAACGAUCGCGUAAUUCCACCGCUGCUGGGCGUGCACCAUGAGCGCAAGCACUACGGCGGCGACUGGCACCACCACGUCGCCGCCCCUGGCGAAGAAGCGGCCGCGGCUUGCGGCGGCGUCCACGAACGCCUUCUCGCUCAAGUAGUACGCGCCGCCAAGACCGGCGUGCGCACGAAGUCGUACGCACGCGAGAGGCCGUGACGCCGGCGUAGAAGCUCCCCCUGAGCGGCCUGCAGUUAGACGCACCACACGGCGUUGCCGAUCACCUGCGGGAGCAGGAACAGGUCCUGCAUCAGCGCGGCCUGCUGCUCGACGGUCACGGCUUCACCACCUGGUCGAUGCUCUGACAAAGCCAGCUCUUGUUGAAAAUGUGGUAGGGAGUUCGUCCGGAAGACGGCGCCAUGCCCAUGGCAACGUCGGAGGUGAAGUGUAAGGUGACCCUCGCCAGGAUCGCCUCGACGCCCGUGACCAGCGGCAUGCCGUACCCGAGAGCCUGGACGCCGAGCAUGACGAGGGAGAUGUACGGUGCCACGUCGGCGUGGGAGUUGACGUAGCGCAACUGUCUGAGGGGUCCGCUGGACUGUACACGCCUUCCAAAGACAUCACUGAGCUCGAAAACCGAUGGUCCUCAAAAACGGUGAGCUCGGCCGACACGUUUAGCUGCGGAUGACCCUCAGAUCCAGGCUCUUCUCUCGGUAUGCCUGACGAAGCACCCCUGUAUGGCGCUCCCACAUAGCGAUCAAUGAUCUGCUCAAGGAAGAAGACUUCCAAGUGAAGGAUUGGGUGCUCGAUCCUUUCCUGCAGUCGGAACAGGCUUGGCACGGUCAUGAAACAGAGAGUGAGUGUGUCGGCGAGGGACGAUAGGCCUCCUCCUGUAAUAGCCGGUGCCAUCUUUCCUAGGAUAGCUCAGGGGCAUGGACUUCACGAUGAUCUUGCAUAGAUCGGACUGGGAUUGGCUCCUCCGAAGGAGCUCGCCGGCUCGCUUGAUCUUCGUGUAGCUGUACCUGUAUGACAACUUGACAAGAGAGGGCGGGCCAUCGUCGGCGUGGUAGUUCCAGAUCCGUGGAGGAUGCAUGCGCUGCUGGAAUGACAGAAGGGGGGCCGCCUGUGCCGCCCCGCCGGCUGCGUCGACGCCGGUUAUCCAUCCCAGCAUAGUGUCGCGGCGUGUGAUCGAGAUCGUCGUCGGGAUUCGGGAAGUACAAGCACACCCGGAACUGGCACAGCUUGUUGAACGCGAUGCCACGGCACGCCACCAUGCAGGCCUGUCCUGUCGAUGUGUUCCACUACCGCCGAAGGACGUCGCACGGGUAGCUCCCGUUGUACACAUCCUCCCUUGCACGGUUGGAAACGACGUCGGCGGCGGCGUUGCUCGAAGUGAUAGUUGUGUGAGCCCGGCGCCGGCGACGAGCUCUUCGGGCCGGAACUGGUACAGGAAGUUCGAUUGUGUGAGCCCAGCCACGAGCUCCACGGUGUCGAAGUAGGCGGCAUCCUACGCGGGCGCUCGUGCUCCCCAUCGUGCCGAGCACCGCUCGGGUCGUCAGCGUCAGCUCCUUCGGGUACCGCAGCAGGAGCAGUAUAUUGCUGUCCGCCAUGACCGGCGGCUGGAAGCUGCUCCGGCCGGAGUUCUUGGCCCAGCCCCACGGGUCAAUGCCGUUGCCGCCGCUGCCGCUGCCGCUACGCUUCGGGAGAAGAGCGGUCCCGACCAUGCACAGCACCCGCUCGCCGUCGCCCUUCGCGCUCUCCGUGUACACACCUUCGAACACGAUCUUAAUCCUGGUCCGACCGGCCGAAAUGUUGAGCUCCGGAGACGCGGCGGACAUGGAAGGGUACGGCCCGAACUCCGGCACCGGGCUCUUCCGGGAGACUGUAAGUGCGAGGAUGCCGCUGAACAUUGACGGCUGCCCUUGGAAGGCGCUCGUCACCGUCCUCGACAUGCGUGGUCGCAAGUGUUGCGAGGGACAGGGGGUCCGGCAAACGGCGAGCGCCUUUCCUCGGCGCGUUGCUGCCGUGGAAAGAUAGCUCGCGCUUCACACGGGUUGGGGAGAUAGGAAUCGUAAGUUAGCUCUUUGGCCGAGGAGACCACGGAGUGGCAGUGGCGAUUGACGUCGGCGAAGCGGAGGUAGUCAUGAGCUAGCUCGAUUUGGUCGGAUGGGUCGAAGUACAAGGAGGAGGUAGUUAUGCACAGACAUAGCAGGAUGACUCCGAGAAAUGGCAUGCUCGAGGCCAUGUUUCUGUGGCAGAUGAAGAAGGUGUAUCUGACGAUCGAUUUCAGGUAAACAUCUCGGGAGAUUGGAAUGGCAGAAAGCAAGGGUAGGAAGUGGGUGAUUGACCUAGUACGAGAAGCAAGAUUGCGACACAACACAUUUCCCUUGAAACUAUCACCUGAAACACUCAAAAUUGCACUUUCUCCGCUGAAAGUGGCUUGGUUACCGGCCUUAACAAAGAGGGACGUACAUGUAUGACUGCUCCCGGGUCCCGGCCCUUGGGUUAGCCAACUCUUUAGCAAUUUAUCCUUAUACUGCUGGUUCAUGGACCUGGCCUGGUUGCAGACCUGCAGUAGUAUGUUUCUGGAGAAGAGAUACUAAGAUGAUCUGGUCUCAGUCUCUAUACUGGGAUAGGAGAAGCCCCGGAUCUCGACCACAUGCUCUACGGUCCCAGAAUCAACAGUAUUAAUUUGGAUACUAUAGGACAAGUAAAUUUUAGAAAACCAUGUUUUUUUAGCCACAUCGACAAAAUGUAACAAUGAGCCCAAAAGACAAGAGUUAACGAUUUUGACGAGAUUUCUAACAGGUGGGACCCACCUCGGAUCCAACGCGACCCGUCUUCCUCCUCUGCUCUUCUGCAGCCCAGCCCAUCCCCUCCUGCCACUGUCGCCGCCCAUGUUGUCCGGCUGGCCAUGCCGCGUCGUCCCCUCGGGCGAGACUCUGCCUCGCCCUUAUCUUCCUCUCGCCCGCUGCUCCCUCCCCCAUCUCUUUCUCUAUAUUUCUUCUUUUCCGAGCCCCCGCGCUGUUGGAAAUCAGCUCAAGUCCAAGCUCUUUCUCUCUGGCAAGCAACGACGAUUCCGGCAAGAUGCACAAGUACAAAAUGCCCAAGCAAAUCAGUCAGCAGCACUACUCUCGUCAAGCUGCACACGCACGAAUUAGAAACGGACUCUAAUUUGAUCUUAAGCUUACACGCGCGGCUUAUCUUCCCCAAGUCUGGUGAGGCACCGCCUCCGGCCGUGCAGCCGCUGCAGCCUCUCCCGCGCCUCGCCGCUGCGUGCGGGAGAAUCGGCUCGCCUUGGUGGAGCAAGCGACGAGCUCGCCUCGGUCUCCCGCGCCCCCAAGCGCCCCCGCGUCGACGUCCUCCGCUGACCGUGGGGCCUCGCCGUCGGCAGCUACCUCCGCUGCCUCCCGGUCGAAGCUAACUCCUCCGCGCACUUCACCGCGUCGCCACGGAGCCCCCAUCGCCGCCAUCUGGAUCUCCCGCGGCACGAAGCCCCCGCUGGUGGUGGAAGCGGAAAAGAGGAGAGCCAGCGGCGUGGGGGCAGGAAUCGCCGGCCGGGAGCGGGAGGCACGUCGAGGAAGCUCGUGGAGGGGUGGGCGGCAGCGCCGGCCACCAGAGAUCAACAUGGGAGGGGGCGAGGGGAGUUAUUUGGUCGCUAGCGGGUCGGGUCGGACCGACUAUUCGACCGACAGGUGGGCCUAUCAGUAAUCCUGCAAAAUAGCUAACUACUUGUGUUUUUUUUUCACUGGUACACUUUGUCCGAUGUGGCGCAACAGACAGAUUAGUGCAAGACAAAUACCGCUUCGAUCGAAAGAGCAGUGCGUUCAACAGUCAACAGUCAACAGCAACGCUCCAACAAUAAAAACACUCUAACAGCAUAGCACAAUCUUGAUCCGAAGAGCAGUGCAGUGCGGUUAUGCCUUCUGCACUGCACAUGUGUGCACAUCGUGUAACACAAUCUCGAUUACUGUUGACUUCAGGAUUGUGGAUCAUGUGGUCGAUCCGGGAUUCUCCAAUCCAGGCACGGGGACUGGGAUCGGAUCAUCUUUGUACCUCGUUUUUUAGGGGGAAAAAACUACUACUACAACCAGGCCAGGUCACUGGAGAUUGGGAUAGGAUCAUAGGAUCUGAUCAUCUUGGUAUAUGUUGUCGUACUCUGUAAAUUCACAGUCUGUACAUGUCCUUUCAAAUCUCCCUGACUGUUUAACUGAAGUCGUCAGACAUCCUCUUCAUCUGCUGCAGCAACAGGAGCCGGCGGCAUGCCCUCAAAAGGCCCGAAUGUGCAAUUUCUCGGCGUGAUCCUGCAAUGUCUGUGCAUCACGGCGUCCUCCCAAUACUUCGAUCCACCAGGCCAAAGCGAGCAAGCACGUGACUACCUGCGCUUUGCCGACGUCAAUCGCCGUUGCCAGUCCGUGCUCUCCUCGGCCAAAGAGCUGACUUAUGAUGACAACCUCCCCAGCCGUGUGAAGCGCGAGCUAUCUUUCGAGAAGGGCGACUGGCACCAGGACGCCGGCCAAGCGCCACUGCUGCCGUUCGACGGCGGCGACGCGCAGAGGAAGGCCGCUCGGUGGUUGCCGGAGCCCCUGUCCCUGGCGACCUUCGAGGUCACGCAUGUCGAGGACGACGACGAGCGCCGUCCAAGGACAGCCGUCAAUGUCAGCGGCGUCGUCAUCCUUACCGUCUCUCGGAAGAGUGCCGGUCCGGAGAUUGGGACUUACAUGUCCACCGUGUCGCCGGAGUUCAACAUUUCGGCCGGCAGCACCCGUCUCAAGAUCAUAUUUGAAGGCGUGUACACGGAGAGAGCAAAGGGCCGUGGGGACAAUUACGACGGCGAACGGGUGCUGUGUAUGCUCGGGAGCGCUCUUCUCCCGAAGCGCAGCGCCGCCGCCGACGGCAUUGACCCAUGGGACUGGGCCAAGAACUCCGGCAGGGCUGGCUUCCAGCCGCCGGUCACUGCCGACAACAACAUUCUGCUCGUGCUACAGUACCCGAAGGAGCUUACACUGACAACCCGAGCGGUGCUCGGCAAGAUGAGAAGCACCAGCGCCGCGCCGGAAGCCGCCUACUUCGACACCGUGCAGCUCGUGGCAGGCCUAAUCUCGUACCGCGCGUCUGAAUACGAUUUCCGGCCGGAAGCGCUCCCCGACGGCGCGGGCGACGCGCUUUCUUCGAGUGCAGCUGACGAUCCCGUGUUCAACCGUUCAAUGGAGGAUGUGUACAACGGCAGCUACCCGUGCCUAGUCCUUGACCGGUACGGUCUCGGAGGGCAAGUCAACACCGUGCUCCCCGGCUGGCGGACGCAGUGCAACUCGACGACGGGGACGUGUGGCCACGGCGUCGGGCCGUUCGACCUGGGAAGCGCUGCAGACGCGGAGGUGCUCGCCGGGGUCGGCAUCAUGAUGCAGGAUCUCCAGUGCCAGGCGCGGCACAAGGACGGGUACGCCAUCUUCGGCACCGCGACGGUGUCGGCCGUGAUCCGCGCCCUGCCUCCAUGGCAGGACUGGCGCACGGCGGCGGGGCGCUCGGGGCUGAGCGGGGAGACGCUGUCGGCUGAGGGCGUGUGGAACGCGUCCACAGGGCAGGUCUGCAUGGCGGCGUGCCGUGGGAGCACUGCGGGCAAGGAGGCGUGCCGCUUCCGGGUGUGCUUGUUAUUCCCGACGACCAUGUCCAUCACCGCUCGCGACACGAUGCUGGGACGGAUAACCAGCGUAGAUGCACACGCGCCCCUUGUGUCGUUCCGACAGCAUAUGAGUCCGCCGCGUCUCUGGGGCUAUUUCCCCGAUGAUGGCCAGCCCCUCUUGCCAUACAGGUACAGCUACACUAAGGUCAAGCAGGCCGGCGAACUCCGGCGGAAGAGCGCGUCGUCGUUCGACCUCCGCAAGUUCAUCGCGAGAACUCUGUCCCUGAGGUAUCCAAAGAGAGAUGGCACUGAAGACCACCGGAGGAUCCUGUCCUCUCUUGCCGACACGCUUACUCUCUGUUUCAUGGCCGUGCCGAGCCUGUUCCGACAGGAACGGAUUGAGCAGCCGGUUCUUCACUUGGAGGUCUUCUUCCUCGAGCAGCUCGUUGAUCGCUACGUGUCCCCUUGAUAUAGGAACGCCUCUUCAGCCGUACCAAGAGAAGAGAACGGAUCGGAGGGGCAUCCACUACUUAUUAAUGUGUCGGCGGAGCUCACCAUUUUCGAAGAGCGCCGUGUUUCGAGCUCAGUGAUGUCGUUGGAAGGCGUGUACAAUCCAGAGGAUGGCCGGAUGCACCUGAUCGGCUGUCGGGAUGUGCGGCUCCCAGCAGGGCGUAACUCGUCGAGAGACCUCGGACUGGAAGAAGGAAUGGACUGCUCCAUCGAGGUGAAAGUCCAGUACCCGCCGACGACGAUGCACUGGUUUAUCAUGUCGACGGCCAAGGUACAGAUUGCGAGCACGAGGAGAGCCGCCGACCCGCUGCAUUUUGACGCGGUGCAGCUCAGGGCCCUGCCAGUCCAGUACCCGCAGCAGAUGCCGGGUGGGUUCUUCCGAGGCGUCGUCAAUGGCGUCCUCUGCGUCGCACUGCUGUCGGCCACCAUCGCCGCCACGCUCAGCCAGCUGCGCUACCUCAACUCCCACGCCGACGUGGCGCCGUACAUCUCCCUCGUCAUGCUCGGCGUCCAGGCUCUCGGCUACGGCAUGCCGCUGGUCACGGGCGUCGAGGCGAUCCUGGCAAGGGUCACCUUGCGCUUCUCCUCCGAUGUCACCACCAUGCCGCCAUCUUCCGGCGGCCGAACUCCCUACUACAUGUUCGACACGGGCCGGCUGUGCCAGACCAUCGACCAGGCGGCGAAGGUGCUCGCAGUCGGCGCGUUCUGGCUCACGCUGCGGCUCGGCCAGGAGGUGCGGCGGUCGAGGGCGCGCAUGCUGGCGCGGUCACCGCUGGACCCGGCGCGCGUGCCGAGCGACGCAGGCAAGGUGUUCGCCUGCAGCUACGGGAUCCACCUGGCCCUGUUCAUGCUCAUCCUGGCGCUGAACGGUAAAGCCGUGACCGUCGAGCAGCAGGUCGCGCUGAUGCCGGACCUGUUCCUGCUCCCGCAGGUGAUCGGCAAUGCCGUGUGGCGCGUCAACUGCAGGCCGCUCAGGGGGAGCUUCUACGUCGGCGUCACGGCCGCGCGCCUGCUGCCGCACGUGUACGACUGCGUGCGCACGCCGGCCGUCGUCGGCGCGUACUAUGAUGGCCAGCAGGCGUUUACGAAUGCUGCGAACCACGGACGCUUCUUCCCCAGGGCCGGCGACGUGGUGAUACCGCUCGCCGCCGUUGCACUCGCGCUUGCGGUGCACGCUCAGCAGCGGUGGAACUACGCGAUCGUUAAUAGCAUGGGCAUGCCAGAGCAGAAGAAGCGGCAGCAAAUGUUCUAGUCCUGCUUGGGGCAAGCUGCAAGAGAAGUUGCGUCAUUUGUUUGCGUUUCGUGAAAAUCUUCUGAUGUAUUGCAUUCUACUAGGCACAUCUAAGUUCUUUUUCUUUGAAUCGUGUGGUUUAGUAGAUUCUUGUUUUGUUUAAAAGUGCAAUCGAACUAGCAACACAUAAAAAAGAGCAUAGAGGAUCAAGACCAUUAUCAAAUGUUCCUCCCAAGAAUCAUAUUGGGUAUAUGUUCCGUUUUCCAUAGCCAUAUACCAUCGAAUAUCAGUGUACUUUGCAGGAUGAAAAUCUUAUGUACUCUUCUUGUCCGUAAAUUUGUAUAGAUUUUUAUACAAAUCCACGUUACUUAUUUUGGUACGGCAAGAGUAUAUCCAACGAAAUUCUACUGAAGCUAUUUCUAAACACUUCUCAUUCUAUACUACCCCCGUCGGUCGGGCGAAAACACAAGGACGGCUGGGAUUUACGCGUACCCCUUCACCCGCUGUGGCAAUUUUGUAAAUAUCGCCGCGUAGAACCCAGCGUAUGGCCCUAGAAAGCCCAUACGGGCCGCAAGGGGUUGUAUUCGUUGGCGUCGACGUGUAUACUUACUCGGCGUAUUCAGAUGGCGUACGCCCGUUAUGGAAUAAUACAUGCGUCGUCGACACAGACUUGCCCCACUAUUUCCUCUAAUCCAGGGAAAGAAAUAACGUCCCGGACUCACCCGUAAUGGAAUAAAAUCCGCGUGCAUUCGCAUCGACUUGCCCCCACGACUCCCUCUAAUCUAGCGAAGAAGAAAAAAACGCCCCGGACGCACAACCACCUCCGGCGAUGAAGCGAACGCGCGGAGCAGACGACCCCGUGGCUGUUGUCAAGGAAGCUGCCGUCGUGACAGAUCUAGUGGAGGAGGAGGAGGAGGCCGUGAUCGUGGCAGAUGCAGCGGAGGAGAAGGAAGGCAUGACCGCGUUGAGAACGCGCUGGCAGGUUCGGUGACGUCUUCGCCGUCCGAGAUCGCCACGGGGUCCAAUACCCGCCAACAGGAGAAGGACGUCGUCGACCCCAUUAAUCUGCCGCACGACUAGGACUUCUCCGACGACUCGGCUGACUACACGGAGUUUGAUGAAGUCCUCAGCGACUUGGAACCCGAUGUAAGAUCAAACUAGUUAGUCCAUGAGUUCGAUGCAAUGUUAUUCUAGGGUUUUUCGAUGCAAUCUAGUUUGUCACCGGUAAGCUAAGUCUAUGCGAGUUAGGGUUAGUCGGAUACACUAUUGAUGUUAAGUUUCAUGUUAAGUUAAGUUUAGUAUGCAUGAUAGGCGCCAAUUUGUAGGUGAUGUAAAUUAUGGCUGAUGUCGUAGCCUGGGGCUUAGACACCGGGGAUGCGAGGCAGCCCCUUUUUGGUUCGGCAGUGGGCAUUGGGGAUCGCUCCGGCGAUCACCGGCGAGGCCAAUGUCAAGCGUGAAGAUGCACUAGACCGUUUUACCCAGGUUCGGCCCACCCUGAGGUGUAAAACCCUACGUCCUGCUUCUGAGCUUGUAUUAGCCAAUUAACUCGGGUUUACAAGUUGCCGGGGAGUCCCCGGACGCUCUCUCAUUUCCUACUAAGUGCUACUUGCUAUUUCUGAGCUAAAGCUAGCAAGAACCGAACGAACCAAACCCCUUGACCCUUGGCGAUGGUCUUCCUCUUAUACUCAAGGGGAUACCACAGGUGCCUCGAUGCAUGGGUGACAAGUGUCGAGCUUAGACCUUAGGCAGCUUGCCCUUGCUGCGCUGGCAUGCAUGCACGGUCCAAAGUAGUAUACCUAGGGCGGUAUGUGCCUUGGAUUCACUGACAGCCACUCACUGUGGGCUGACUUGACAAGGAACGACCCUUCUGUCGGAGAAUUUAAUGCUUACUUGUGCCACACUCCUCGCCUUGACGAGUCCCGCGCACAGGUAGCCUGCCGAGGCGGCCACGUGGCACAGACGCUCUGCCCGCUGUGCACCGGCCCCAUCACAGGUGCCAGCGCCCGAGAACACCCUCCCGGCAAGUGACCUUCCCGGGGGGCGUUCUGACCAAAAUUCCCUUGCCGCCUUCCGAGGUAACCCCUGCAGCCCGGCUCCGGAUGGCACCCGACGGGUUUGGGUACGGGUACAGCUCUACCAUACCCGUACCCGACGACCGUACCCGAAACCGCUACCCGUACCUGUACCCGUGGUCGGGUAUGAAAUUUUACCAGACCCGCCACCCGCAGGUAUUUUUACCCGACCCGCUGGAAUCUCAAAAAAUCCUUAUUUCACAGCAGCAUUCAACAACACAAGCCACAUUACUCACGGAAAAAUUACCAAAUUCAAUCGAGCCGUUCCCUUUUUACCCUCAACAUCCAGAUCUGAUUGGCGAAGGUCUCCACCAGAGGAGUUUACAUUACGAGUCGGAUUCCCCACUGACAAGGACAAUAUCCAGCAUGGACCGAUGCUUACAGGUCGCUUUGCUUGCCGGCACGGACACAAUCACGAACGGCGUCAGCUCGCGCACGCGACUGGAGCAGCACCGGCGGCGCGCGUGUCCGAGGCGGCGGUGGCAUCAGCAGCCCGCGCUCGGCGGCGGCGAGCCAUGGCGUUGGCGGCAUCCGCGGCCCGCGCUCGGCGGCCGGGGCGGAGGACGAGGCGUGGCGGCGGGGCGCGGGAGGAGGGCGCGGGGCGUCGGACUUGUGGAGGAGGCGGGGGCACGUGACGGCGUGCUGGUGGAGGUGGCCAGGUCACAGGUCGGCGGGCCGGUGGAGAAGGCUGGAGGCAAGGGCGCAGCCGCGCGACGGCGCGAUAUGUGGAGGACAGGAGUAAGGUGGCGGCGCGCGGACAGGGGAACAUGGGAUGUGUGGAAUUAGGGUUAGGUCUUGGGCAUUUAUAUGUACGAAAAUGUUGUUGGGCUGGGCCUUAGCCAAAGUGUACUGGGCCUACUGCACUGUGCUAGGUGCGGGUAGACGGGUAGACGGGUUCGGGUAGUCCAAUACCAUACCCGUACCCGUCAUACCCAUCGAGUAUAAGAUUUUACCAUUUACAUACCCGC